UGAAUACGAGUUUUGCUUCAGUUUGAGCACUUGAAGAAGCGGCAGCUUUUCUAGUGUUGGCAUGGGAUCAUCCAUUAGGUCAGUAUUAGAAAAACUCAAGUGGGUUAGACUAUGAGGAAAUAGGUAUUCAGCAAGGACGAUUUUGGAGAGCCGUGGCAUCUUGCUUUCAUUCACCAGCUUCAACGACUCGAGACAGCUCAAUCUGCAGAGACUUUUGGAAAACAAAGAUUGAUUAUAACUUAAAUCUCCCCGUAUUCGGAGAUUUCGAAGAUUAGGUAGUCUGCCCAAUAUAUCUUCAGUACAGCAGCAAGGAUGCAAGGCAGAAAUGAAAUUGAGAUUUUCCAGAGAGCCGCAAUAUUUUCCUGGAUGCGCAGGAAGUGUGAUUGACCCAAAAUUUAGAUGCCUGAGUUUUUUCAUCUUCCAAAAUUCAUCUGCUGUAUGAUCUAUAUAGCUAAUGGGCAUGUCUAGGGUGUAGAGGUUCAGAAGAUUGCUUAACAAUGAGGAAGGCAGGCUUUUGAGGGAAGGGAUAUUCAACUUCAAAUAUCUCAAAAGAAAUAAAUUUUCAAUUCCGGAUGGAUACUGGAUGAGAACAAGAGAUUCCAAGUCCAAUACUCUGAGAAGUUUGAACAUUCCACAAAUGUUCUCCCAAUCCAUGGGGUCAAAGUGGCGGGUUUCUGGAGAGCAGAACAACAAAGACUGCAGUUGCGAGUCAUAAUCAUCUAAGCAAGCAAAAUCACCCUCUCUUUCAACAGCGUUUAACCGUUUGGCAUUUUUUUGUGAUUUACCUUCUGGAUCCAUGAAAGGGGAAAAGAUAAAUUCCACCCUAUAAGGAACUGUCAUCAACACAGGAUGGCAACGACCUGGAAUAGAGCAUGUGUUGAUAGUGCCUGCAGCUUUUCUCUUCUUUGCUUCAACAAAGCCUCCCUUGAUUAGUUGUUCUAAGUAAUUCUCAGCAGUUGCCUCACUAUUGUCUGGGAUGAAACCUUCAGCUAUCCACAACUGAUAUAACUGCCUGGUGGAUAUCUCUAGGUGUGCGGGAAACACAGAUAAGUAGAGAAAACAAAGUUUCAAGCAAAAAAGUAACCUGCAAUAUUUGAAGUACCGAAGGACAAAGGGUGUCUCGAAUACUUCCUCUAUAUUUUCUUCAAAUGAGAUGCUUCCAUGAUAUAAGAUGAGGAAAGGCCAUCCUUUAUAUGUAGCUCUCAAUGGUCCUCCAGUUGGCACUGAAUCAAGCCGAAUGUUCUCUCCGUCUUCGAGCUGAAAUGAGGUGACCAUCUUAAUUUGAGUGAGUGUUAUUAAUACUCUACUUCUAUUCUGAUUAUCCGGGAGUAUUUCUCGAAUAAUAUCCCUUACUUCAAUGUUCCACACAUCAUCAAUCACAAUCAAAUACCGCUUGGUCAUUAGAUAUUCAUGAAGAAUAAUUUUUUUCAUUUCAUAAUUUUUAUCCUUUAUUUCACUCAACCUAGAUCAAGGCAUCAGAAACUUAAUAAUGAUAUCUAAUAUUUGGUCCGCUUCAUACGGACAAGGCUCCUGAAUCCCAGUGUGACAAUCAAAAUAAUGCUUCACAUAACUGCUGUUGUAAGCCUCUCCGGCAAAAGCCGUCUUGUCCAACCCAAUGCUAUCAAGUAUGGCCACCACUGAAAGCUGAGGUGGUCCCUCGAUCAAUAGAUCUAACAACUCCUCCAUUCUAUCAUCUAGACCCACCAUGUCCCUACUUUUAGAAGAUGAAGAUAUACCGGCUUCAGCUUCCAGAUUUUUGAAGGCAUGAAAGAUUUCGGAAUCGAUGUGCGGAACUUGUUGAGUCCGUUGUUUUAUAUCAAUGAUUCUGCUUUGGAGUCCUAGCAGAGCAUCACAGAUGUCCUUGCUGCAGCUGCUUUGACUCUUCUGUUGAGUGAUGCUGUUGAUGAAUGUGUCAAUCACCUUCUCAGAUUCACAGGUAAAGCAAAUGAUUUCGUCCAUGACGGUCGCCAGAUCUGGGUUGUCAAUUUCAACUUCUCCUAUUUGUUGCAUCAGAAGCCAGGACGUUUCAUAUUCAAAGUCCCUCAGCCAAGAAGUAACGAUUUCAACCUCGGCAAGAAGGUUCUGAAUAGGUAGUUUUGCAGCAUCAGGCAACGUGACUUCUUCAUCAGCUAACACCCUUCUCAGCCUCUCUGAAAAUAGUCUGAAGUUGAUGUCCAUAUCUUCUCCUCUCUCAGUACCACCCUGUAAUCAGUCCUGUAGCAUGCAAAGAAAUAGUUAAAAACAGAGAGUUGGAAAGAAACUAUGCUUUAAAGCUCCCCUACCUCCGUUCUCUUAGCUAGUACUCCAUUCAAGAAAUUGAAUCGAGAUUGUUGACUCUCAAAUUAGAACAGAUCAAGGCAGAGCAGUGCCGUAAAUGAAUCUUACAAUACACUGUUCUCCAUAUGUUGUAAAAAGAAUAAAGCAGAAGAGAAUAAAUAGGUCUUGAUCAAGGAUCAAUCAAGACCAAUAUGUAUUAUACAUCCACUUUCAAGAAAGAAAAGGUCAAACCAAUUCCACCGGGACCAUAAAGCCUAUUUGAAAAGAAAAGAACAGAGCAAGAUCGUUAAUAAUUUAAGCUGUGGAAAAAUGCAAAAUCACGUCAACCACUUUCACUGGCGUGCAAAAGUUUUUAUGUAUCCACUGAAACAUUUAUUGUUGCUGAAUGAAAUGAUCUUAGGUUGACCUACACAACUCUUUCUUUCAGUACUCCAGUAGUGCAAGCAUGUCAGUUUAGUCAAUAGUUUCUCCUACACAUAAAUGAUGUUUAUUAUAGAAUUUUGAUAAUGGGUACAAUAAGAAAGUAGUUGCAGAGAAAAUAUUGGGGGUUGAUGUGAUAUCUAUUGACUUGGAGCAUAAUAAAUAAUUACAAAAUCAUUGUUUGUCUUUUAAUUUUCAUCAUACUCAUUAAAAAAGUAUUAUGAUUACAUAGUCAGUGAUUUAUAUUCACAGAAGACAAAAGUAAUGAAUAAAUAAGCUACCACUUGCAAUUAAUAAAAUGCUAACCCUAUCUGGUAAGGUAGCCCUGUUCAUUGAAAGCAAAAGCAACAGAAUCGUUCACUGUGCUGCCACAAAAUGAUUGUCAUGGAAGGCACCAAAGUUUCCAAGUAACAGACAAAGUCGAAGUAGUUAGCACUAUGAGGCGAGGCUGAAAAACUUGUUCCUCACGGUAAAUAAUUUUUAAUAACGACCUACUGCUAAUCAUUGUGUUUGUUAAUCUCUGCCUUAUGCCUUAGCUUUAACAGCACCUCCAUGUAAUCCUCUCAACCCAGUACACGGGAUCAGAGUCAGGCAAGCAUGAAGUUCAUCAGUAAUCAAAUCUCUUCGGUAAAUAAACAAAGCAUAUUGAUUGAGUGCCUCAGUGUAGCAACUGGAGUGCUUAAAACCAGAGAUACCUCAGUUGCUGCCCAAUAUCACAAUCCAAUCAAUCAAGAUGCUACCAAGAAUGAACUGAUUUGAAGUUCAAUUGAAAAUGGAAUUGAAACAAGAUGAUGAUGAAAGAACAGAAAGCAAUUAAGAUCAAAUUGAAUCAAAGAAUUGAAAGAACCAACAGAGGACAAAUCGAUUCAACGUGGUUCAGCUAAUUUGCAUUAGUUUGCAUCCAUGGGAGGAAAUUUCUGAUCAGUUUUUAUUGAUUCUUCAAGAUGCAUUACAGAGUACAAAGCAAGGAACAAGAUGUAUUACAUAACGCGAGUUAGCUAACUCUAACGAACGUAAGCAGCUUUCUACAAGCACGUGAGAUGUCCGUGCUUCAUUAAGCAGCUUUCUAGCCUUUUACUAGACGUGGUUUCAUUUUAUUGAACCAUUAGAGGGACACAUCAGUAGUCACAAAAAUGCCCCUGUAAUGGCAAUCCUUGUAAUCAUUUGGCUGCCGCUCUUCAUUCCACUCCCAAGUACGCAGCCCAAACUUCAACUUUCUCUGAGAAGGUAAUGAAGCGUGGCUCUGUCUCAGUAAUCUGUCUUUCAUAUUCCAUGAAAUGAGCCAAAGGAGGAAUGCUUCUAUAAUUAGUAGCAACCACCAAUCAUAUUGAAGGAAUUUUCUGCAACAGAUAAAGAAAGAGCAGCAGAGAACAAAGCUGUUAAUCAAUCAACACAUGUAAAGCAGUAUUAGUAUUUCUGCCUUAUUGUAGUGCCUAAGCGGGUAUUAGGAUUUCUUCACAAGAACGUUUACUAAGAUAUUCAGCCAAGUAUGAAGUUCAUCAAUAAUCAAUCUUUUCUGGAAAUAAACGAAGCAUAUCGAGUGCCAAACUUGCCCAGCCUUUGAAACAGGAUUUCAGAGAAAGCAACAGAACAAAGACAGAAAAUACAUUCAACUGAGCCCAACACCAGAAAGCAUCAUAAAUAUUAUUUAUUUUUUGUACACAAUUAACGAAACCAUGGCCGAAGCACAAAACAAUGAACUCUCAACUGAAAAUCCUAAGCGAAAUUUCUUAUUUAUGGAUAGACAGCUGAAACAAAGAAACCAAAAAAAAGUCCACCACCGUAGGAUCAGGAUUUAUUUGUGUAGACAGCAGAAGUGAAGACAGAAAGGAUUCUGGUUGGAAUUGAAGCUCGGGCUGCAGUUAUGAUGUUUUCUGCUCUGAUUUCACCUACACAAGUCAUUGAAGAAAUUGUGAAAAAUAAGAUUUUUUAAUUACAUUUUUUUGUCUUAACUAUUAAAACAAAUGAACGCGAUAUCUGCUAGGCUCAUGGUUGAAUAUACAAGGGUACUUAAGUCUCCACUUCUGCUAAAGAGGGCUUGAUGAUUGGGGUGAGUAUCGGAAACUCUAAAAGGUACUCAAUGUUGAGACAAAUUAGAAGAAAACACUUUGUAUAACCAUCUUUAUAUUGAAGAGAAGGGAAAAAAAAAGUAUAUGAAAUUGGAUAAAUAAUUAAAAGUUGAAUAAAUUGGUUAAAACGAGAAACAUACAUCAAAUUCAAUGGGGGCUAAUCAAAUUCCAUAAGGAUAUAGUUGAAUGCCGCACUGUUCCUUAUCCUCAAAUUCCCGUAGCUUUUGUCUCAGCUCUGGCUGAGGCCACCAGCAAUCGAACUUGUUUAAGCUCUUUAUGCACCAGAGCUGUUCAGGCAUCCUUUUCAAGUAAGCACAAGGGUUGAUAAUCAAGCAUUCUAGUUUUGGCAUGGCCCCCGUCCCCAUAGUCCACUCCUCUAGCCAUAGCAUUGAUUUCAGGUGCAAUACCUUGAGAUUUGGAAAACCAUCAGAGCCACAAGUCAGCUUCCUACCUGAAUACGAGUUUUGCUUCAGUUUGAGCACUUGAAGAAGUGGCAGCUUUUCUAGUGCGGGCAUGGGAUCCUCCAUAAGUUCCGUAUUAGAGAAACUCAAGUGGGUUAGUCUUGGAGGAAAUUGGUACUCAACAAGGACAAUUUUGGAGAAAGCUGGCAUCUUGAUUUCGUUCACCAACUUCAAUGACUCGAGGCAGCUCAAUCUGCAAAGACUUUGGGACAACAAAAAUUGAUAAUAACUUAAAUCUCCCCAUAUCCGGAGAUUUCGAAGAUUAGGUAGUCUGCCCAAAAUGUCUUCAGUACAGCAGCAAGGAUGCAAGGCUGAAAUGAAAUUGAGAUUUUCCAGAGAGCCGCAGUAUUUCCCUGGAUGCGCAGGAAGUGUGAUUGACCCAAAAUUUAGAUGCCUGAGUUUGUUCAUCUUCCAAAAUUCAUCUGCUGUAUGAUCUAUAUAGCUAAAGGGCAUGUCUAGGGUGUAGAGGUUCGGAAGAUUACUCAAUAAUGAUGGAGGCAGGCUUUUGAGGGAAGGGAUAUUCAACUUCAAAUAUCGCAAAAGAAAUAAAUUUUCAAUUCCAGACGGAUAUUGGAUGAGAACAAGAGAUCCCAAGUCCAAUACUCUGAGAAGUUUGAACAUUUCACAAAUUUUCUGCCAAUCUAUGGGGUCAAGGUGGUCGCUUUCUGAAGUGAAGUACAACAAAGAAUGCAGGUGCGAGUCAUAAUCAUCUAAGUAAGCAAAAUCACUCUGUUGUUCUAAAGCGUAGAAACGUUUGACAUUUUUUUGUGAUUUACCUUCUGUAUCCAUGAAAGGGGAAAAGAUAAAUUCCACCUCGGAAGCCACUCCUAACAAUACAGGACGGCAACGACCGGGAAUAGAGCAUGUGUUGAUUGUGCCUCCAGCUCUUCUCUUAUUUGCUUCGACAAAGCCUCUGUUGAUUAGUUGCUCUAAGUACUUCUCAGCAGUUGCCUCAUUAUUGUCUGAAAUGAAACCUUCAGCUAUCCACAGCUGAUAUAACUGCCUGGUGGAUAUCUCUAGGUGUGCGGGAAACACAGAGAAGUAGAGAAAACAAGGUUUCAAGACAAAAGGUAACAUACAAUAUAUGACGCAUUGAAGCCCAAGCGACAUGGUCAAUACUUCGUCUAUAUUUUCUUCCAAUGAGAUGCUUCCAUGAUACAAGAUGUGGAAAGGCCAUCCUUGGUAUGUAGCUCUCAAUGGUCCUCCAGUGGGCACAAAAUCAAGUCCAAUGUUCUCUCCGUUUUCGAACUGAAAUGAGGUGACAAUCUCAAUUUGAGCGAGUGUUAUUAAUACUCUACUUCCAUUCUGAUUAUCGGGAAGUAUUUUUCGAAUAACAUCCCAUGCUGAUAUUCUCCACACAUUAUCAAAAACAAUCAAAUACCGCUUGGUCAUUAGAUAUUCACGAAGAAUAUUUUUUUUCAUUUCAUAAUUUUUAUCCUUCAUUUCACUCAGUCUAGAUGAAGGCAUUAGAAACUUAAUAAUGAUAUCUAAUAUUCGGUGAGCAUCAUAGCUGUGAGGCUCUGGAACCCAAGCGUGACAAUCAAAAUAAUGCUUCACAUAGUUGCUGCUGUAAGCCUCUGCGGCGAAUGCCGUCUUGUCCAAUCCAAUGCUAUCAAGUAUGGCCACUGCUGAAAGUUGAGGUGGUCCUUCUAUCAAUAGAUCUAACAACUCCUCCAUUCUAUCAUCUAGACCCACCGUGUCCCUAUUCUUAGACGAUGAAGAUGCAGGAAAAUUGCCGGCUUCAGCUUCAAUUGAUUUGAGCUCAUCAAUGAUUCCGGAAUCGAACUGCUGAACUUGUUGCAUCCGUUGUUUUAUAUCAAUGAUUUUGCUUUGGAGUCCUAGCAGAGCAUCACAAAUGUCCAUGCUGCGCCCGCUUUGACUCUUCUGUUGAGUGAUGCUGUUGACGAAUGUGUCAAUGACCUUCUCAGAUUCAUACGUAAAGCAAUUGAUUUCAUCCAUAACGGUCCCAAGAUCUGGGUUGUCAAUUUCAACUUCUCCUAUUUUUUGCAUCAGAAGGCAGGAGAUAUCAUCUUCAAAUUCACUCAGCCAAGAAGUAACGAUUUCAACCUCCGCAUGAAGGUUCUGAAUAGGUUGUUUUGCAGCAUCAGGCAACGUGACUUCUUCACCAGCUAACACCCGUCCCAGCCUCUCGGAAAAUAGUCUGAAGUUGAUGUCCAUAUCUCCUCCUCUCUCUGUGCCUAGUGGUCCUAACAUUCAAAUUGAGACAUAAUUGAGAGAGACAAUGAUUAAAAGAUUUUAAAAAAUAAUAAUAAGAAAUCUUUAUGUCUCUCAAUUCAAACAUUAACCAGCAUUAAUUGUUGAUGAAACUCUACUCAGAACCAUAUGCCUGAUACCUCCUUCUCUAAUUAAUCCUGCCGAGUGUUGCCAUUCAAAAAGUUAAAUCAUGAUUGCUGACAGUCAAAUUACAAGAGAUGAAAGGCAGAGUGCUGGAAAUGAAUCUUAUAUCCUCAUGUUGAGUAUGCAUUCUCAACCAAGAUUGGUGACCAAUCAUUACGUAAAACGAAUAGAAAGAAAAAUUUUAUAAAAUGCAAAUUAGCUUGGAAAGAUUCUACCUAGAAACCAUCAUGUGACAAAUUAAUCUCUUUGUCAACGCAUUUCUAAAUGUAAUAUAAUAAGUUUCGUCCUGGAAAUGAGCAAGAUGAUGCUUGUACUCAAAAUAAGCUAAGCUAGCCUUCAAUUUUUUUUUUUUUUAAUUUCCCCCUUUUUAUCUGAUUUGUCAUCAUAUGAAACGUGUGAGGAAAAACAUAACUUGUAAACGAGAAUCAAAUGCAAAUAAAUCGUGAACCUAACAUUCAUGAUAUAAAAAUAAUAAAAUGGAGUUAUUUUGUGGAUAAUUCAAAUAUUAAACUACCUGUUUUUUCUUGAAGUGAUCACAAACUUCAAUAUCCCGACGAUAUAUAUCUUAUUUUGAUUAAAAAACAACACAAUCAAAUUAUUACAUAGAAAGAAUAGGAAAAACAAAGCUGAAUUUUAUUUAAAUUGGGUAUUGAUAGAUGAAUGAUUUUGUUAGAAUUGAAAAUGAUCGUGCAUGUGAAAGAAAAAUAAGUUCAGAGAAAAAUAAAAGAUCAAGAUCAUUUAAACUUUACUUGUAAGUAAAGGAAAAUAUCUUGGUUCAAGAAAAGAAAGAGAUACCAAACUCACAAAAUGGAAAAGGAGAAAGGUUAAACAAAGACUUAGUUCAAAGAAAAGAACAUGAUGCUGGUGUCCUGUCAUCUUUUUUUUUUUAUAAUUAAUUUUCAUUUUUCUUUUUCCAAUUUUUGUUUUUCCAAUCCAAAAAAUGAACGCAAUAUACAUUUGCUAACUGGGAAAAAAGUCAUUUUGUCUCAAAAUAAAAUGACAAUAUAUCAUGAUUACAAGAUGUCUUGUGUUGGGUUCAGUUAUUCCAUGUGAGCCAACCACCCAUGUUGAGAAGAUGAGCGACUUUUAAGGGGAAUAAAACUGUCUGCCUCCCGAGGGGUAUUUAAGAAAACAGUGUACACCAGAAGUGGGGGAUCAAAAGAAGGAAUGAAAAAAGAAAAUUAAUCUUCCAUCGUAGAGAAUGAGAGAAAAUUUAUAUUAUUUCAUCUUUUUUUUUAGGGAUAUUAUCAUUUUUCUACCAAAAGUAUUCUGACACAUUAUGUCAGUACCACGGUUUGGUAAAACUAUCAAUUUACCACCAAACGUUUAAACUGUUAGCAUUUAAUAAAUAAAUUUGCCCUUUAAAAAUUAAAUAAAUUAAAUCAAUUUAUGAAGUACCUAGCACCACACAGUCAAUUUUACAAAAUUCAUGAAGGGUAAUUUUUGCCCUUUAAGAAGGAAAAACACCAAAUGAUGAUUUAAUUACAAAAUUCAUAAAAGGUUAUUUACACGGUCUUUUACACUCCAGGGGUAAAAUUGACCUUUUAUGAAUUUUCCGUUACAUAUUAAUUGAGUUUUAACGGAAUGGUGGGAAAAUGCUAACAGUUUAAAUAUUUGGUGGUAAAUUGAUGGUUUUACCAAACCGUGGUACUGACAUGAUGUGUCAGACUACCUUUGGUGGGAAAAUAAUAAUAUCCUUUUUAUUUUUAUUUUGCUUGAGUUAUUUCCUUAUAGUCAACUAUUUAAUUUGCUUCAAAUCUAACUUAAGCAUAAGAGAGUUCUCGCCGGAUCCCCCACCGGUGAGUCGUGACCGGUUUUUGUAGUUUUCAGGCUGCAGAUUUAAGUUCAUAUCAACAUUCAAAUUUUGUUCGUACUAGUUUUCGACUCGAAACAAAUUCAGUUGUUGAGCUCAUUUUUCGACAUCAACAACUUGGACAUUCUUAAGAUAGCAAAAUCAAUAAACUCAACAUUAUGUUACUGGCUAAAGAGUGAAGAAACCAUAAGAAUCCAAUGACAACCAAAGCAGAAGGAUCAAUUUUAAUACAAAAGGGAAUUCCUCUGCUGCAAACAAGGGCUUUGAUGUGAUUGUAAGGAAUUGAGAGUGAGCAGCAGCACAUCCUCUCGCCAUCAACUUCAUUGCACUGCAUUACAAGGCAAAUGUGAAAACGAUUACAGCUGCCCUUUAUUCUCUUAGUGCAAUUGGGCUGCUAAUCAACCAAUAGAGAAAGAAUUCAGUCAUCAAUUCUAACAAAGCUUCCAAAACCUGCAACGCUACAACUAAAUUUUAAAUCUUCCACUUUCAGAACUUUACUCGUUAAAUCUCCUUUUCAAUUCUACCUAGUCCUUACUGGAUCCUUAAAGUCACCAAGGAUUAGUGAUGGUUUUUUAUUUUACAAGGGCUGCUGGACAACCCAGAUUGACGAGGGCUAAAAUCUCCAUAUAUUUGGAGGCUAUGAAGAUUAGACAAUAUGCCCCAGUUUUUUUUUGUUGUUGUGUUUAAUCCUCUGUUAGUACCAAGAUCACACACCUAAGACCCUCUUUGACGUAUCAAGAAUCAUUCCCAGAAACCCAAACUCAAAAUUGAAUCAAAGUGCCUACAUCCACUGAAGAACAAGGACCAUUUCAUAAUCAUUCCAAGAAUAUACAACUUUUUCUCUUUAACUCUCUCUUUCUAUGGCUUUGAUGAGACAUGUGAAGAUGACCCAACAACCAGCCAUAUAAACUACAAUAAAGGCUAUUUCCAACAAACCCGAAAUUUCCCUGCACUUUUUUAACGAACCCCAACUGACUUUGGACCAGCAUUGUCGCCCUUACAAUGAACGACACGUCGGCGAAAUUCCAAAAAAUCGAACGACAAUAUCGUUCUGUCAGUUUUAAGAUGAUGAGAUGUGAUCACAGCACAAACAUUUUUCGUCUCACUAAAGUAAUGAGAUUGAACUGUACCACUACUCAAAAACUAGAAAAAUAAAAUAAAAUAAAAAACAAUAACAUAUAUGCAACUACAAUGUUGACAAAUUGAAUACACACCAGUGAACGUGAAAAUAUAAAGUAAAACAAGAAAAUGACAUAAUCCCUGAAAACAAAGAAACCAAACAAUUCUUAUAAGAAAAAAAAAAACCACACAAUUUCAGUGAAGGCUGGAUUCUUAUUGAAAUUGAAACUUUGGCUGCAGUACAGUUAAGAUAUUUUCCGCUCUGCUUUGACCUACACAUACAAGUAAUUGAAUAUCUUAUUUUACAGUUUUUCUUGAUUAUUUCAACAACCAAUACAUAAGGGUUCUGCCUCUUCUAUUAAUAAGGGAUUAAUGAUUAGUGUCAGUAUCGGGGAAUGUGAUGGACACUGAUACGAAUUUAUAUAUCAAAUUGGAGCCAUCAGAGGAGGCGCAAGUGGAAGAGCUCAACCAAGAACCCACAGUCAGUCAACCCAAGGAGGACAUUCACCAUGAGCUAGUGCAAGAGAAUCAACGGCCCAAACGAAACAAGAAACUUCCAGACUGGCUACGAGACUACGUCGUUUAGGAUGAUAUGUAAAAGCAUUGUGAUUGGCUGCGUUUGUUUUGGAUUCUUUUUUGUCAUUUUCUGUUGCGUUGUCAAAUUGGUUAUUUUCGAUUGUCUGUUAUAUAUUGCGGGAUUUUGUCAUUUUGGGAAGGCAUGAAAUGAAUGGACCACUUUUCUUCCUCUCUAUGACUCUUCUUCUUUUCUUCUUUCUCAUUUCUCAACUUCCAGUUCUUUCCUCUGGAGCAAACACUCGCUCGAAGUAGUGAUAAUUUUGAUAUUGCUCAGUUUCACGAAUUAAGAGCAUAUCACUGGUGCUUUCAUUGAUCAUGGCAAAUUCUGAAAUUCUUUUUGCUUUACAGACCUUUCAAGCAACUUUUGACGCCAAACUUGAUGGGCAACAACUGUCCAUCCAUCAAACAAUCUAACAAUUCAUGACAUCAGUUGACUCUCGUUUUGAGGAGUUACGUAUAGAAAUUCAUGGGUCUUCCAACAAACCAGUUGGUUCCUCCAACCCUUCACACCCUUCAUCUUCUAAAUAUGAUGGCGUUCUUCAUGGUUCUGAAGUUUCUCCAGUACUUCGUUCCAUGAAAAUGGAUGUGCCCAAAUUCGAUGGGUCUGACCCUACUGGAUGGAUUUUUCGAAUAGAAGAAUUUUUGACUUUCAUGACACACCUGAGAUCCUCUGACUACGGAUUGUCUCUUUUCAUAUGGAGGGUCGCGCUGCCGCGUGGUAUCAAUGGAUGAAGAACAAUCACUUGGUCACUACUUGGCAAGAAUUUUUAGCUAACUUGCGCUAUCGUUUUGGUGCUUCUUUGUAUGAAGAUCCCCAAGGUGAUUUGUCCAAAUUGAGCCAAACUACCACGGUUGCCGAUUUCCAGUCAGCUUUUGAAGAUUUAAUGAACAAGGUCACUGUAAUUUCUGAACCUCUUUUGAUUAUUUUUUUCAUCACUGGUUUGAAACCCAACAUUCGACGGGAAUUGUUUUUCUCUAGACCGUCUUCAUUAAUGGAAACUUUUGCCUUAGCUCGUGCUUUUGAGGCCAAAUAUGACGAAGUGAAACAGAGCUCACGCUCAUGGCCUAAAUGGCAGCAACCGUAUCCCCUUUCACCUGGUUUCCAAACACAACCCAAACCCAUUUAUCCAUCCUCUUCACCUGCAACUGUUACCACAGCCAUCACCCCCGUAUCAUCUUCAACUCUUCCCUCACAAACCCACAAUACCAAUAACUCCAACACUUUACCUGCAUUAUUACCGACACCAACAUUACCUAUUCACCAUUUGUCUCCAGCCGAACUUCGCGACAAACGCGAGAAAGGUUUAUGUUACGAUUGUGACAAAAAAUACAGCAGCAAUCAUCGCUGUCGCAGUAAAUUUCUACUUCUCAUGGGCAUGGAUGAUGAGGAAUUGGAACCCAAACAUAACGAGGAACCAUCAGAAUUGGUAGAUGCUGGUAUUACUGGUGACAUCUCUAGCUUAAAUGCUCUAGCAGGGCAGGCCAAUCCUCGCUCUCUUCGUUUAAUUGGAGAAAUUGCUUCGCACACCUUUCAAGUGCUGAUUGAUAGUGGCAGCACUCACAAUUUCAUAAAACCGGCGUUAGCGGAACGAUUGGGGUUAGCCAUUCAUCCCACUACCAAUUUCCGAGUGUAUAUUGGCAACGGUGACUUCCUGGUGUGUAAACAGUUCUGUCCUCAAGUGAACUUAACAAUGCAAGGCACGACUUUUAUGGUAGACCUCUUCAUUUUGCCAAUUGAGGGCACAGAUGUAGUCCUUGGCAUUCAAUGGCUACAGAAAUUGGGCAAAGUGUCCUAUGACUACUCUGCCCUUACCAUGGAGUUUUCUUUAAAUGAGCAACCAGUGAUGCUUCGUGGUGAUUUGUCUUCUAAUACUUUGAUCACUUAUAAUCAAUUGCAGGCAUUGGUUCAAAGUGAUACCGUGACCAGCCUUUGUGCUUUACAACCAGUGCCCGCCAUCGAUGCUUUGCCUUCAUUCUCCAUCACAGACACUUCCUCACUUGAAUUUCCUUCUUCCCUUCCUGCUCAAUUUCUCAACCUUUUACAGCAAUACAAACACCUAUUUCUCCAACCUUCUAGCCUACCACCACACAGAACUAUUGACCACAAAAUCCAUUUAUUACCCAACACAUCCCCCAUCAAUGUUCGUCCAUACCGCUACCCACACUUCCAAAAAUCUGAAAUGGAAAAACUGAUAAGGGAAAUGUCAGAGCAGGGCAUAAUUCGACCUAGCCAAAGCCCUUUUUCCUCCCCGGUUCUCUUGGUCAAGAAAAAAGAUGGCACCUAUCGGUUUUGUGUUGACUAUCGUGCAUUAAAUGCCGUAACCAUCAAAGACAAGUUUCCUAUACCGACAAUCGAUGAGUUGUUUGAUGAACUUGGGGGCGCCACCAUUUUUAGCAAAUUGGAUUUGCGCGUGGGAUACCAUCAAAUUCGUGUCCACAACCGCAACAUAUACAAAACGGCAUUUCGAACACAUGAGGGCCAUUAUGAGUUUCUCGUCAUGCCGUUUGGGUUGACAAAUGCCCCAUCCACUUUUCAAGCCACAAUGAAUCAGAUUUUUGCAGCUCAUCUCCGGAAAUUUGUGAUUGUUUUUUUUUAUGAUAUCUUGGUUUAUAGCUCCUCCAUGGCCGAGCAUUUGCUUCAUCUUGAGCAAGUAUUAGCUUGUUUACAUCUUCAUCAAUUUUUUAUUAAAUUAUCCAAAUGUUUGUUUUGCCAGGCCACUAUUGAGUAUCUAGGCCAUAUUGUUUCAGCCUCGGGAGUACAAGCCGACCCCCAAAAGAUUGAUGCCAUGCUUAACUGGCCAAGUCCACGUUCUAUCAAACAGUUGAGGGGUUUUCUUGGUCUCACUGGAUAUUAUAGGCGCUUCAUCCGUGGUUAUGCUUCCUUGGCAGCCCCCCUCACUGAUUUGCUGCGAAAGGAUGCCUUUCAAUGGAAUUUGACAGCCAUGGAGGCCUUUGAAGCUCUUAAACAAGCAAUGGUGCAAGCUCCAGUCCUUAAGUUGCCGAAUUUUGCUUCCGAAUUCGUCAUUGAGACCGAUGCUUCUAAUGUAGGCAUAUGAGCCGUACUUACACAACAUGGGCAUCCGAUUGCUUAUUUCAGCAAGAAGUUGGGUCCCAAAUUGCGGGCUUCUUCCACUUACAUCAAGGAGUUGCAUGCAGUUGUAGAACCUGUGUAUAAGUGGCGGCAGUAUUUGUUGGGCCGAUUCUUUGUUAUCCGCACGGAUCAUAAGAGUAUUAAAGAACUCCUUCAACAAGUGAUACAAACACCAGAUCAGCAAGUUUAUCUCCGUAAAUUAUUGGGUUUCCAAUUCCGAAUUGAGUACAGACCAGGCCGUACCAAUAGCGCUGCUGAUGCUCUAUCCCGUGUCCAUGAAUCAGCUCCUGAGGAUAACAUCAACAUCUCCCCCACUUGCCUUUCUUUUAACAGCCAUCCUUUAUUUGAAUUGCUGCAGUCAUUACUUAAUGAGAAUACCACAUUACCUGAUUUAAUAUCACUUCACCAGCAACUUUUACAAGGCAAACUGUCAGCUGACUUCUCCGUUCAAAACGGAUUUCUUCUCCACCGUCAGCGUUAUUACAUCAGUCCUACCUCCUCUUUAAAAGUCGUACUGUUGCAAGAAUUUCACUCUACGCCACUGGCAGGUCAUGUGGGUGUCACUAGAACCUUAAUCAGAUUAUCUUUAACAUUCUAUUGGCCCAAAAUGCGUCAUGAUGUGGAAACGUUUAUCCGAGAGUGUUUAAUAUGCCAGCAAACUAAGUAUUCCACUUAAGCCCCUGCUGGUCUUCUUCAACCAUUGCCGAUACCUAAUAUGGUUUGGGAUGAGGUCACAAUGGAUUUCGUUACAGGUCUUCCGUUAGCACAAGGUUUCUCGGUCAUAUUGGUUGUUGUCGAUCGUCUUACAAAGUUUGCCCAUUUUGGUCCGUUACCCUGUCAAUUUACUGCCCUCAAGAUAGCUGAACUCUUUGUGGACAUGGUCAUUAAAAUACAUGGUUUUCCAAUUUCAAUUAUCUCCGAUCGAGACCCAGUGUUCUUGAGCAAUUUUUGGAAACAAUUAUUCCUCUUAAGUGGCACAACUCUUCGUCAUAGCACGGCAUACCACCCUCAAACGGAUGGUCAAACGGAAGUGGUGAAUCGAGGAUUGGAGCAAUAUUUAUGAGCUUUCACUCAAGCCAAACCACAGAAGCGGGUUUCCUUACGGAGUUGGGCAGAAUUUAGUUAUAAUUCUCAUUUCCACAGUGGCUUGAAGAUGUCGCCCUAUCAAGCUUUAUUUGGCCGAUUGCCUCCAACUAUUCCUCAUUAUGCUAAGGGCUCUACUUCAAUCCAAGCUUUGGAGGACAUUCUCCUUGAACGUAAUACUCUUCUCCAGUCUUUAAAAGCUAAUUUGAGGCAGGCACAACAUCGAAUGGCUCAGAAAGCUAAUGCCCAUCGCCGUGAAGCUCACUUUGAAGUAGGGGAUAAAGUGCUGGUUAAAUUACAGCCAUAUAGACAGACCACUAUAGCUUCUCGCGCCUGUCAGAAGUUGGCCAAGCGAUGCUACAGGCCAUUUACGGUACUUGCUAGAGUGGGGUCUGUAGCUUACAAAUUGGAGUUACCCAGUACUUCCAAAAUCCACUCGGUUUUUCACAUCUCUGUCCAUAAGCCUUAUCAUGGCAACGACCCUGCUAUUUCACAUCCUUUACCAGAGUUGAGUGUGGAUAACCAUCCUCUUUUGCUACCGGCUGCCAUUUGUGCAACCCGAAUAGUGUUGCAACAGGGGAAGCCAACGCCUCAAGUGUUAGUUCAAUGGACCGACAGUUCACCGGAGAAUUCGUCUUGGGAAAACUUUGACGCCUUUUGUAAGCUCUAUCUAGCAUUUCACCUUGAGGACAAGGUGUGUUUUCCAGAGGGAGGGAAUGAUACGGAUUUAUAUAUCAAAUUGGAGCCAUCAGAGGAGGCGUAAGUGGAAGAGCUCAACCAAGAACCCACAGUCAGUCAACCCAAAGAGGACAUUCACCAUGAGCCAGUGCAAGAGAAUCAACGGCCCAAACGAAACAAGAAACUUCCAGACUGGCUACGAGACUACGUCGUUUAGGAUGAUUUGUAAAAGCAUUGUGAUUGGCUGCGUUUGUUUUGGAUUCUUUUUUGUCAUUUUCUGUUGCGUUGUCAAAUUGGUUAUUUUCGAUUGUCUGUUAUAUAUUGCGGGAUUUUGUCAUUUUGGGAAGGCAUGAAAUGAAUGGACCACUUUUCUUCCUCUCUGUGACUCUUCUUCUUUUCUUCUUUCUCAUUUCUCAACUUCCAGUUCUUUCCUCUGGAGCAAACACUCGCUCGAAGUAGUGAUAAUUUUGAUAUUGCUCAGUUUCACGAAUUAAGAGCGUAUCAGACACUUCGAAGUCUUUGUUGAGACAAAAAUUAGAUAGAAAACACUUUAUGGUGUCAUUAUUAUUUAGGCUGCUGCGUACUAUCGAAUCAAUCAUAGAGAAUAGAUGUUUACAUGAAAUUAGAUAAAUAAUUAGAGGUUGAAGUUAUUGGAUAAAAAGGAAAAAAAACUUACAUCAAAUUCGAUCCACGCUAAUCAAAUUCCAUAUGGAUAUAGUUGAAUGCCAUACUGCUCCUUAUCCUCGAAUUCCCGUAGCUGUUGUCUCAGCUCCGGCUCAGGCCACCACAACUCCAAUUUGUUUAAGCUCUUUAGGCACCAAAGCUGUUCAGGAAUCCUUUUCAAGUGAGCACAAGGGUUGAUGAUCAAGCAUUCUAGUUUCGGCAUGGCUCUAAUCCCCAUAGUCCAUUCCUCUAGCCAUAGCAUUGAUUUAAGGUGCAGCACCUUGAGUUUUGGAAAGCCAUCAGAGCUACAAGCCAGCUUUCUACCUGAAUACGAGUUUUGCUUCAGUUUGAGCACCUGAAGAACCGGCAGCUUUUCUUGUGCCGACAUGGGAUAAUCCAUUAGCUCAAUAUUUGAAAAACUCAAGUGGGUUAGACUCGGAGGAAAUUGGUAUUCAGCAAGGAUGAUAUUUGAUCGCCGUGGAAUCUUGCUUUCAUUCGCCAACUUCAAUGACUCGAGGCAGCUCAAUCUAUAGAGACUUUUGGACAUCAAAGAUUGAUAAUAACUUAAAUCUCCCCAUAUCCGGAGAUUUCGAAGAUUAGGUAGUCUGCCUAAUAUAUCUUCAGUACAGCAUUAAUGAUGCAAUGCUGAAAUGAAAUCGAAAUUUUCCAGAGAGCCGCAAUAUUUUCCUGGAUGUGCAAGAAGUGUGAUUGAGCCAAAAUUUAGAUACCUCAGUUUGCUCAUCUUCCAAAAUUCAUCUGCUGUAUGAUCUAUGUAGCUAAAGGGCAUGUCUAGGGUGUAUAGGUUCAAAAGACUGUUUAAUAACGAUGAAGGCAGGCUUUUCAGGGAAGGGAUAUUCAAGUUCAGAUAUCUCAAAAGAAAUAAAUUUUUUAUUUCGGAAGGAUAUCAGAUGCGAACAAGAGAUCCCAAGUUCAAUACUCUGAGAAAUUUGAACAUUUUACAGAUUUUCUCGCAAUAAGUGGGGUCAAGGUAGUGGCUUCCUGAAGUGAGGUGCAACAAAGAAUAGAGGAACGAGUCAAAAUGAUCUAAAAAUGCAAAAUCAUUCAAAUUUCCAUGAGCGGUGAAGCGUUUCACAUUUUCCCGUAAUUUAACUUCCUGAUCCAUAAUUGGGGAAAUGACAAAUUCCCCCUCGAAAGCCACAGUCAACAACGCAGGACUGCAACGCCCAGGAAUAGAGCAUGUGUUGAUUCUGCCUCUGUCACUUCUCUUCCCUGCAUCAACAAAGCCUCCAUUGAUUAGCUGUUCUAAGUAUCUCUCAGCAGUUGCCUCGUUGUUGACUGGAAUGAAAUCUUCAGCUAUCCACAACUAACAUAAUUGCUUGGUGGAUAUCUCAAAAGUGUGCGGGAAACACAGAUAAGUAGAGACAACAAAGUUUCAAGUAAAAAGGUAACAUACAAUAUGCAACGACUUGAAUCCCUCGGGGUUCAUCAAGUGCUUUCUCUAUAUUUUCUUUCAGUGAGAUGCUUCCAUGAUAUAAGAUGUGGAAAGGCCAUCCUUGGUAUGUAACUCUCAAUGGUCCUCCAGUGGGCACAAAUCAAGCCCAAUGUUCUCUCCAUUUUCGAACUGAAAUGAGGCGACGAUUUCAAUGUCAGAAAAAAUAAUCACAGUGAGUUAAACAAAUAAACCAGUAGGUAAUUUGACUGCAGCAAAACAGCAACUGAAGAAAAUAAACUCGAGGCCUAUAAUACAGUGUCCUUAAAACAGAUUUAUCACCUAUUGAAGUGCUUUAGGUUUCUUGAUAACUGUUUCCCAGGAUACAACGGGCACGAAUUUUCUUUCAAGCACAGACAGAUAAUUCCCGCGAACCACAACAACGGUAAACUCGAUCAGAAAACAAGACAAAAGAAGGAGGAAAGAAAAAUUGUAAGUGUUCUGUGUGCUGGUUUCAGUGUGUGUAAAAACAGAAGAGGAAGGUGCCUUUUUAUACUCAUGUGGGUACGUAACAAUAGCAUAAAAAUUGAAUUUCGGAAUUCAAUAUAUGCAAUUUAAUUGCUGUAACAGCCAUUGAAUUUUAAACAAUUCAAUUCAAAAAUUGAAUUGCAUAACAGCCCAAAAUAAUUGCGAAGCUGUUACAAAUCUUUUGAAUUCAAAAGGUGUGAAACUGUUACAACAAAUUUAAAAGGAAAUAAAAAACGUGCCAUGCGAGCUUGGGCUGACAUUCGCGGGCACACACGAGUUCAACCAAAUCAGUCAUGAAUUCGCCCCCCCCCCCCCCCGGUGCACGCGUGUGGGGAGAGAGCCUCUAUCCUUAAAAUUCUUGUUCAUGCAUGGUUAAGUAUUUAUAUAUAAAUACUAAUCCCUUGGCUUCUUCAAUGAGGAUAACAAAGCCUCCAUUAAUUAGCUGUUCUAAGUAUUUCUCAGUAGUUGCCUCAUUUUUUUCUGGAAUGAAACCUUCGGCUAUCCACAAUUGAUAUAAUUGCUUGGUGGAUAUCUCAAAGUGUACGGGAAACAUAGAUAAGUAGAGACAACAAAGUUUCAAGUAAAAAGGUCACGUACAAUAUGCAACGACUUGAAGCCCCCGGGGUUCAUCAAGUGCUUCCUCUAUAUUUUCUUUUAGUGAUAUGCUUUCAUGAUAUAAGAUGUGGAAAGGCCAUCCUUGGUAUGUAACUCUCAAUGGUCCUCCAGUGGGCACAAAAUCAAGCCCAAUGUUCUCUCCAUUUUCGAACUGAAAUGAGGCGACGAUCUCAAUUCGACUGAGUGUUAUGAAUACUCUACUUCCAUUCUGAUUAUCGGGAAGUAUUUCUCGAAUAACAUCCCAUACUGAUAUUCUCCACACAUUAUCAAGCACAAUCAAAUAAUGCUUGGUCAUUAGAUAUUCAUGAAGAAUAAUUUUUUUCAUUUCCGAACUUUCUUCCAUAAUUUCACUCAACCUACAUGAAGGCAUCACAAACUUAAUAAUGCCGUAUAAUAUUUGGUCAGCAUCAUAUGGUAAAGAAUCUUCAACUCAAGCGUGACAAUCAAAAUAAUGCUUCACAUAGUUGCUGCUGUAAGCCUCUGCAGCGAAAAUUGUCUUGUCCAAUCCAAUGCUAUCAAGUACGGCCACUACCGAAAGUUGAGGCGGUCCUUCUAUCAGUAGAUCUAAUAACUCCUCCAUUCUAUUAUCUAGACUCACCGUGUCUCUAUUCUUAAAAGAUGAGGAUGCAGGAAAAUUACGGGCUUUUGCUUCAAACGAUUUGAGCUCAUCAACGAUUCCGGAGUGGAUGUCCUGAACUUGCUCCAUCUGUUGUUUUAUAUCAAUGAUUUUGCUUUGGAGUCCUAGCAGGGCAUCACAAAUGUCCUUGCUGCAUCCGCUUUGACUCGUCUGUUGAGUGAUGUUGAUAGCAAAUGUGUCAAUCACAUUCUCAGAUACGUAUGAAAAGCAAUGAAUUUUGUCAACGAUAGCCUUAUAAUCUUCUAAUUCUGCAAGAGUUUGACCCUCUUCUGCAUUGACUUGCUACAUAAACCAAGCAGUGUUGUAUCCAGAGUCCCUCAGCUAAGAACCAACGAUUUUAAUCUCAGUGUAAAGGUUCUGAAUAGGUUGUUCAGCAGCAUCAGGCGCCGUGAAUUCUUCACUAGCUAGCACCCUUCUCAGUCUCUCUGAAAAUAGUCCAAGGUUGAUGUCUAUAUCUCCUUCACUCUCAGUAGUCAGUAGCCAACAGCCCUAGCAUGGAAAGAAAAUAAUUAUAAAAAAAAUGGCUAAAAGCUCUCCUUUUACUUCAACAUUAGUCAACAUAAUCAACUGAGGAUGGCACCAAUACCUUAUUCUCUCAAGAAGUUGAAUCAAGUUCAGGUGGCUGUCAAAGUAGAACAGAUUAAGGCAGAGCAGUACUGGAAAAUGAAUCUUAAAACUAAAUGCUGCAGGUGCCGUGGGGAUACUGAUUGAUAAGAGGAAUUAUAUUGAGAAAUUAUUGAUGUACAAUAAUGAUUUUCUGCGAAAACCUGAGGUAUAAUGUACAUGUAUAUAAAAUAUUCUUUAUGCUAGAAGAUAAAAGGGUGUCUUAUAAUUUGUGUUUUAUAUAUAUGUGUAUGAAGAAAGUAAAAUAGGCUAUCAAGACUAGUUUCUUUUUUGCCCUCUCAAAAGACUGAAAGAUUAAAAAUAAUUCCGCUGGGACCAUAAAGCUUGCCUAGAGAGAAAAAGCAUCACCUUAGAAUCUGAUUCAUUGAUGCAUCAAAUGCAUAAUAGUCGCCAUUGUUUAGAGAUUUUCUUUUCAAGCGCUUUACAGACUACAACAGAAUACGUAGGGAUGGCAAAACAUCGGGUCGGGCUCGGGCUUGGCCAAACCCAACCCGACCCGAUCAAUAAAGAACUAAAGCCCGACCCUAAAAAAAGCCCUAUCUAUUUAUAGUUAGGGUCGGGUCGGGUCCGACCCGAAUCGGGCCAACAUCGGGUCGGGCUAAGCCCGACCCUACCAAAACCAUUUUCCAAAUGCUGAAAUGUAGCUGCAAGCCUGCAACUUGCAUUUCCAGAUUGCUUAAGCUGCUCGUGUGCUGUCCAAGGCUCCAAGCUGCUCAUGUGAUGUCCACAUGCCUCAAUUAAUUAACCACCAAAGCACUAAAAUGCUAUGCCGUUUUGAUGCUUAUGGAAAUUCCACAAUGGAAUCAAUUUGAAGGUCACACGAGAAGCACAUGACUAACUUAAACAUGAAUAACAAUAAGGCUGAUAUGCAACCACAAUUCAAUUCUCAAUUCCACAAUCAUUUCCAAAACCAUUUUACACACAAAUCAAUUCCAAAAUCCAACAUGAAAAAUACAUAAUACAAUUAAAUUAAAAACACACAAUGUAAUUUUUCAACAAUUCUAACCAAAUCAAUUCCAUAACCCAACAUAAAAAAAAAAGUCUUAUACAAUAAUACAAAUAAAAACUCAUAAUUCAAUUCCACAACCAAACUUUUUUUUUUUAAAAAGAACUACUCCAACACUUGCGGGCCACUUUCAUCUUCAUCCACAAAUUCCUCUCCAUUAAAAGUUUCACUUUCGAGAAUUUUACCUACAAAAAAAAAAAGAAAAUGAGAAAAUAAUUCAAGUGUAUAAAAUUAUUACUAAACCAAUUAUUUUGUACAUUAUUUAUAUUCAUACCUUUGGAGUUUGCCCAUAGCCAAUGUUGAGUGCACAUAAGCGCUUCCAAUGUCAUAGGAUGAAGUCUACUUCGAUGUGGAGUCAAGACUCUACCUCCAGUGCUAAAUGUCGAUUCAGAGGCAACGGUUUUCACGGGAAUGGCUAAGAUAUCCUUGGCCAUUUGAGCCAAAAUAGGGUAUUUGCCUUGGUUCACAUUCCACCAAUUCAGAAUAUCAAAGUCCGAAGUGGAUUUGAUUAAAGGCUCUUCUAAAUACCUCUCAAGGUCGGACUUCGAUACAAUGGUCUCACUAUUUUGGGUUGCAAAUGCCUCAAACUUCUUUAUAUCAAAAAAUUUACGGCCAGUUCCUAAAUUAAAAUUAAAACGAACAUCGGCCGAAGAAGAUUCACCAACAACCGCAUCACUCACAUUCCCACUUUUAAUUUCAUAAAACUUGACCAAAUCGUUACUUAAAUUGCGCACCCUUUGAAUCUCAUUUGCAGCACCCUCACCAUAAAGUUGUGGAAAAUAAUAAUUAACCAAUUGCAUCUUAAACCUCGGAUCAAGAAUAACUGCCAUCACCAAAAUCCCAUGAAUUUGGGCCCAAUAUUUAUCAAAUUUCAUAAUCAUUUGACCAGCCAUUUCUCUAACCACAGGCACACUAUAAAGAUCCCAUUCAUCCAAAUUAAUCCUCAUUUCACAUAUCAUUGGAAAAAAAAGAUUAGAUGUAGGAUAUUGUGUACCUGAAAAUAACUCUGUCAUAGAGUAAAACGGCAGUAAAUAUUCCAACAUCUUUUCAGCCAUCUCCCAUUCCUCAUCUGUUGGCAAAGAGGUGUAGUGUUUAUCGCGCUGCUGCAGUCUAGAAAAGACUAUUUUAUAUUUCACAGCAACAUCAAGCAUAACAUAUGUAGAAUUCCAUCUAGUUACACAAUCAAGUACCAACUUUUUCUCACACUUAACUUGUAAUUGCCGCGCAGCCAUUUCAAAAGUUUCUACCCUCUUUGGUGUGCCUGUCCAAUAAGCCACACUAUCCUAAUCUUUUUAAUCCACUCCUCAAUCACUUUCAUCCCAUCCUUCACAAUUAGGUUUAAAAUAUGAGCCACACACCUCAUAUGAAAAAAAUUCCCACCCAUUAACAUAGAAUCAGCUGGAAUCAAUCCCAUCAAUCUAUCAACCAUAGCAUCAUUGGUGGAACAAUUAUCUAAAGUUACAACUGAUAUCCUUCUAUCCACAUUCCAAUCCAACAUAAAUUUGAAAAAUGCUUCAGAAAGAAAUUCAACGGUAUGUGGAGCCGGCAAAUAUAUAAACCUAUUCAUUACCAAAAAAUUAAAUUUUAGAAUUAAUUAAAUUGAAUUAAAAAUAAGUAAACAUAAUAUCGAUUUUGCAAAUAUAUGAACCUAUUCAUCACCAAAAAAUUAAAUUUUAGAAUUAAUUAAAUUGAAUUAGAAAUAAGUAAACAUAAUAUCGAUUUUGCAAAUAUAUGAAUCUAUUCAUCACCAAAAAUUUAAAUUUUAGAAUUAAUUAAAUUGAAUUUAAAUAAAUAUCAAGUAACAAGAAAAGUACCUUAAAAUUCGACUUUGUAACCGCCAAGACUUGUCCACAAAAUGUCCCGUAACAACCAUGUAACCCUUCUUUUGAUUACUCGCAGUCCACAUGUCUGUAGUAAUUGCCACCCUACUAUCAUUAUUCUCCAACAAAGCCAUUGCUUUUGCCUUUUCAGCUUGAUACAAUUUAAAAAUCUCACUCUUUAAAGUGUUUCUACUCAAAUUCUUCACCAAAGGGUUGGCAUAAGACAUCAAAUCCCUAAAUGCCUCAUAUUCCACAAAAUUAAGUGGCAGCUCAUGCUUUACAACCAAGGUUGCUAUCUUUUGCCGAGCAACAAUUGGAUCAAAUUCUCUCGUCUCAAUACAACUUGUUCCAUCAUCUUUCCUCAUCACGCUAAGAGUUUUUUGUAAGCAAUCAAGAACUAAGGGAACACCCUUUGCCUUACAUGAUUUUUUCAAAUGUCUAUCCAAAUGUGAGGUUCCAUUAUGACCGGAUGCUACCAACUUAGCUUGACAAUGAUUACAUUUCGCCUUCAAUUCACCAUUAAUGGUUACCUUGGUGAAGUGUCCCCAAACAUAAGAAGGUUCCCGCAUACCUCGCUUUUUUUUAUUACUACUUUGUUCUACCCCAUCAUCAUCACGGGAUGUCUCUUCAACUCCUUCAACUUCUUGGACCCCUUCAAGAGGAAUGUCAUCAUUUGUAUCCUCUUCGCCAACAUGAGAAUUCUCAAGUGAAUUUGACAUAAUGACCUAAAUUAAAUGUGUAACAAGUUGCAAUUAAAAUAUAAUAUUUAUGGUAACUACAUAAUCAUUAUGAAUAUAACAAGUUUUAUUGGCCAUUGUGUGUGUGUGUGUGUGUUUGAAUGUCUAGAUAAAUAAAUUAAAUUGAGCUGUAUGUGAAAUUUAUUAUAUUUAUAACAAUUGACUAGUUCACAUGAUGCAGUAAGAAAAUUUUUGUAAACUAGUUAAAAUUUUAGCUGAAGACGUCUUUGAAUCUUCAAGAAACAAAGGGGUAAGAGCAUGUAAAAGUACCAUGACUUUGAAGUAAAAAUGCAGCAACAAGCCCCAAGUAAAAGAAAAGAAAAUUCAUGAGUACAAAGAAAUCAAUUUACAACAUACAGCGGGACAAAAUUAUUAAAUUCGUGAGUACAAAGAAAUCAAUCCCUAAGCUGGUAUAGCAUCCACUGGACUACUCUUUUUAAUCGUUAAUUAAUAUAUAGUUACUGAUCUAUAACAAAUUCUUUCCAUCACCACAAAAAUAAAAUAAAAAUUCAAUCUAGCGGAAUGCAUCUAAUGACAAAAAUUCAUGUAAUUACAACUUAAAAAGCAGUGAAUUGGAUUAUAAUUACAAUUUAUAAUUACAACUUAAAAAGUUCAACAUGACCGAUCGAGGCUGCAGGCUGCUGGUUUUAUGGGUAAUUACAUAACAAAUUGGUCGGAAAUAAUUACAGAACAAAUUGCCAAUUCAUGAGUUCAAUUCACUCACCUAGCGGCGUCGCGGAUGGUCACAAUGGCGGGUCACGAUGGAGAGAAACGCAACAGUGAGAUGCGACAGCGAGACACGACGGUGAGACAACACAACAGUGAGACGCGGCUGAUUGGCUGGCGUGCGUCGACAGUCACGAUGCUGCUGGCUGAUUCGGUGGCGGGCUGGGUGGCUGGCUUAGUGGCUUAGGGUUUUUGAGAAUUUGAGAGCUGUGCCGUGCCGUACUGUGUUGUGUGAUUGUGUCUUGUGUGAUGCAGCUGUUUGUGAUGUGAGCGUGCAGCGUGUGUGAUUUUUUUUUUUUUUUUGCAAAUAGGGUCGGGUCGGGUCGGGUUGGCUUUAAGCCUGACCCUGACCCUAAAUUUGUUCGGGCCUAAAAAUUGUGGCCCGAACCCGACCCGAAACCCGAAAAUUCAGGCCAAAGCCCUAAUAAUUAGGGUCGGGUCAAUCGGGUUAAAAUUAGGGCCGAGCUAAAUUGCCAAGCCUAAGAAUACGUUAUAGUUUGAAUGGUUAGAUGAUCAUUCCUGUUGAUACUGAAAUCUGCUCGCCCUUUGCCCAACCAGAUCUUUUCACCAACGUUUAUAUGAUCAACAGACAAAAUGUCACAUUCUUUCUAUUUCAACGGUUUCUUGAGUUCCUGGGAUUGGAAUCACCAUUUUUUCUUCUCCUAAGCAUGCGUUCACAAGAAUGGAUCAGAGACGCCGGUGGUUUUAUCGGCGUAAACCCUCCGAUGCUUAAGUUAGCACAAGGUGUUUACGGGAAAACUAUGUAAUUUAGAUUGUGUGAUUUCUUGUAAUGCUCUCAAAAAUUUGUAUAGAAUGUAACUUGGUUUCAAUUUGGUAGAGUUUUUCCUUUUUCUCUCAAUUUUUUCUCCCCAUUUUUCAUCAGUUUCCUGACUUCUUAUAGCUGUUGUCCCACGUUUCUGCGUACUCUUUAUGCCCCCAUUUUUCGGGUGAUGGUAGACCUUCAUGGGUCUUCCACCAUUGGAUUGUGGGUAAACGUGGGAUGCCAUGUCUCUCCCAACGGUUUGGGGCAUAACGGAACUGUCGUGAUUUCCUGAGAUCGUGUGCCCUUUCUUUGGGAGAUGGGUAUCUAGUCGGUAUACGUCUCUGGUCGAUAUAUUUCUCUGGUUGAUGCUCAUCUCUAGUUGGCACAUAUUUAUAUAAGACGUUUUACCAGGACUCUUCUCGUGCCAUUCAGCUGAGGAGAUUCGCUUCGGGGUGAGAGAUGAGGGCACGUUUUAUCAGGACUCUUCUCGUGCCAUUCAGCUGAGGAGAUUCGCCUCGGGGUGGGAGAUGAGGGCAUGGCCGAGCUAGUACGUUUUAUUACUUAACACCAAUCCCAGUUUCUGGUCUUGUGAGUGAAACGAGUUGAGAUUAGAAACUGAUAAUCGGAUCUUACCGACCCCAGGAAAUACCUAUCUGGUCUUCGUGUUAUUAUGAUGGAUUUGAGGUUCCGCCUUUUGUUUAAGGAGAUUUCAGUCUGCGUAUGGGCCUUCGUGAUCGUGUCCAAUAUAUAGCUGGGCUAACAUCUCGUCAGGCCUUUUCUAACGGUCAGUGACGUGUCGCUUCUUGCCUUUUCGUAUUUGAAAUUUAAAACGACGACUUAUCUGUCCUCGAUUUACGGCAAGUGAGCUGGCAUCCGUGUAACUUAAACGCCUCCAUUUCCCCUUUCAUUUUAAAUCCCUAAAUUAAAACUGUCAUUGCGUUUCAUUAUUUGCCAUUCUACCGUAAGCCAACUCCCUCCUUGGACUUUAAUCAUACUUUCAGCGUCAGAAACCUUUGUUUGCUGGGUCCUUUCUCCGUCACAGCAAUGCUACUAGUGCCAGUCUAUUCCAAGUAUCGCCUUUAACUUCUUCUCUGGUUGUUGUUGCUUGGGUUCUGUAUUAUCCCUUUUUGUACCCCUAUACUUGGAUUUACUGUGCUUUCCCUUUUAAGAUUUCGAUAUGUCAAACCGAAAGGGAAAAAUAAUUAUAGAUGAGAGUGACGAAGAGAUAGAGGAUUCAUACCCCAACCUAUUUGGACCCAAUGAUCCCCUACGCUCUUCUCGCAGUGUAGGUCCCUCAUAUCAUAAGGAUACCCUUGAAUACCCUCGCCCCAUGACCAUUUUGCCUUCCCCUAAUUUAGAACCCGUGGGAAAUCGUGGUGGACCAGCGUCGGGCUCUGGUGAGAAUCACAGUUCUGGGGGGCUGGGGUCCUUGAGGAAGUGGGUGAAGGUGAGGAGAGUAGUUCCGAGCCGAGCAGACCCUCUAAGAAGAGGAACCUUGGUCAUAGAAUGGAGGCAGAUGCUUACCCCAUUAAUUAUAUCACCUGUGCUACUACCCACACUGACCUACUCAAGCUUAGAAACCUUUAAAAUAUCCCUGAGGAGGUUCUCCUUGUAAUCCCUGGGAAAAGUGACGUCCCCAGUCGGCCUCCCAAGGGGUAUGUGACGAUGCAUCUAGAAAGUUUCAAGCUAGGGGCUCGGUUGCCCCUUCAGCUUUAUUUUGCCAGGAUAUUGGGUGGCAUGCAUCUGGCUCCAGGUCAGCUUCACCCGAACGUGUGGAGGGUUCUUUCAGCCUUGUAUGUGCUAUGGGAAAGGUGUGGACUCGGGGAGCCUUCCCUUGUGGAAGUAAAGCACUUGUAUCAACUGAGGAGCAGCCCAAAAGAGGCUGGCUGGUACUACUUCAUGUCGAGCUCUGCAAAGAGGAAGCCUAUAAGCUAAAAUGUCGACCUCAACCGUAGGCCUUACAAAUCUAAAGUGUCGACCUCAGUUGUAGAUCUUACCAAACUAAAAUGUCGACCUCGACCGUAGAGCUCACAAAGCAAGUGUCAACCUCAACCAUAGGCUUUACAAAACUAAAAUGUCGACCUCAGUUGUAGAUCCUACCAAACUAAAAUGUCAACCUCAACCGUAGGCUUUACAAAACUAAAAUGUCGACCUCAAAUGUAGAGCUCACAAAGCAAAAGUGUCAACCUCAACCAUAAAUCUUACUAAGCUAAAAUGUUGACCUCAGUUUUAGAUCCUACCAAGCUAAAAUGUCAACCUCAACCGUAAAGCUCACAAAGCAACUAUCGACCUCAACCGUAGGCUUUGCAAAACUAAAAUGUCGACCUCAAAUGUAGAUCUUACAAAGCAAGUGUGGACUUCAACCGUAGGCUUUACAAAACUAAAAUGUCGACCUCAAUUGUAGAGCUCACAACGCAAAAGUGUCGACCUCAAUUGUAGACCUUACAAAACUAAAUUGUCGACCUCAACCAUAGGCCUUACAAAUCUAAAGUGUCAACCUUAAUAAAUUGAAAAUUGUAGAACUUAAAUGUUAUGGCUAUGGUCGACCUCAACAAGUUUUCACGUUGGACCUCAACAAGGCCAAAAUGUUGAUCUCAAUCUCAAUAAGCUUGGAUAAAUUUUUCAUGUUCGACCUCAACAAGGCCUAAAUGUCGAAACUCAAUCUCAAUAAGAUUUGAUAAAAAAUUUCACGUUGGACCUCAAUAAGGCCAAAAUGUCUAUCUCAUUCUCAAUAAGAUUAGAUAAAUUUUCACAUUCAGCCUCAACAAGGCCUAAAUUUCGAUCUCAAUCUCAAUAAGAUUUGAUAAAAAAAUUUUCGUUGGACCUCAAUAAGGCCCAAAUAUGCCGAUCUCAAAUAAGACCGGUCACAAGUAGGUAAGAAAUAGAGUUGCACUUCUGAAUAACCUCAUUGAUAUUAAUAUGGCAGAAAUUAAAGAAUUGAACACAUAACGAAUUGAAAUAACAAAGAAACAAACUAUCAUAACAUAUUUAAAGAAAACAAACAAACAAGAACAUCAUAAAUAAGAUUGGCCUACUGAUAGUAUUUUCGUAGGUGCUCUGCAUUCAAUGCCUUGCCGAUGACCCUGCCAUCCGGAUAACCUAACUUAUAUGUGCCAUUACCAAAUGAAUGUAGUACUUUGUAUAGUCCUUACCAGCUCGGCCCCAGAACUUCAUCAGCUGGCUUUUUAGUUGAUUGAUUGACUUUGCGGAGCACCAGGUCCCCCUCCUGAAAUUGUUGUAGCCUGACAUUCUUGUUGUAGAACUUAGCCACUUUUUACUGGUAAAUUACUGCUCGACCUCUUGCCGUCUUUCUCUUCUCAUCAAACAAAUCUAAAUCCAACAACAUAUGUUCCCUGUUUACUAUCUCAUCAUAAUAUUUUGUGCGGUGUGUCUCCAUGCCAACCUCAGUUGGGAUUACUGCCUCAUGUCCGAAAGCAAGCAAGAAUGGAGUCUCCUCCGUUAAAGUCUUCACGGUCAUUCUAUAGGCCCACAGUACUCCUGGAAGCUCAUCCACCCAAGCUCCCUUCUUCUCACCCAACCUUUUCUUCAACAAUUGCUUUAUAGUUUUGUUCGUCGCUUCCACUUCUCUGUUUGCCUUCGGAUGAGUAGGUGAGCUAAAUCAAAGUUCAAUAUCAAGCUGACCACAAAACUUCUUGAAAUUCUCAUUAUUGAAUUGGGUUCCAUUAUCAGUGAUAAUAGCUUGUGGUAGGCCAUUUUUGCAAAUCAUAUUCCUCCAUAUGAAAUAUGUUGUGCGCUUCUCGGUUAUCUUUUGUAAUUGUUCAACUUCAAUCCACUUAGUAAAAUAAUCAAUGGCUACCACCGCGUAUUUCAUUUGGCCUCUCUCGGUUGGCAUUGGUCUGAUAAGAUCCACCCCCCAUUGUGCAAAUGGCCAAGUGCUCCCCAUUGUCAUCAUGUUUUCUGGUGGUCGUCUUACAAUUAUGGCGAACUUUUGGCAUUCAUCACAUCUCUGAACUAACUCUUGUGCAUCUUCAUGCAUGGUCGGCCAAAAAUAACCAUACCUUAUUAUUUUAUGGGCCAAUGCCCUACCUCCGCUAUGAUUUCCAUAAAUUCCCUCGUGCACCUCUCUCAUCACAUUGUUGGCAUCAGCUGAGCCCAAACAUCACAGGUAAGGUAAAGUGUAACUUCUCUUAUAAAGCACACCUUCGAUAAUGGUGCAUCGUGUUGCCUGGCAUCGCAGCCUUCUUACCUCUGCUUUAUCUUGAGGUUGUUCCCCAAAUUCAAUAUACCUCAUGAUAGGCACCAUCUAGUUCUUCUCAUCUUUUACCAUACAAACUUUCAUUUUGGAAUCAGCUAUACAUGGCUUUGAAACUGACUCCAAUAGAAUUCCUCGUGGGAACUUUGGGCAUUCUAUAGCUGCUAGUCUUGCUAUAUAAUCUGUUCGGUAAUUCUUUCCCCUCAGAACUUGCUCCAUUGUAGCGUGAUCAAAACUACCCCAUAGCUACAGUGCUUUGCUCAGAUACUUGGACAUGUUCUCACUUUUGGCUUGAAAUGUCUCAUUCAGGUAGUUCACUACCAGUUGAGAGUCAAUCUUCACCUUCAAAUGUCGAACUCCCAAUGCUCUUGCUAAUUUUAGACCCGCAAUGAGAGCUUCGCAUUCUGCUUCAUUGUUUGUAGGAUGUAAUUCAUACUUGAGAGCGUAGCAUACUUCUUCCUAGUCGGGCGAAACAAGAACAAUUCCCCCGCCUGACCCUUCUGGGUUUGCAGCUCCACCUACAUUAAGCUCCCAUACAUCAUUAUUCUUCUCUGCCUCUUUAAUCUCCUGCUCGGCAUCCAUCUCUUCACUCUCUUCACUGUAAUCAUUAAUGAAGUUGACCAAAGUUUGUGCUUUAAUUGUUGACCUCGAUCGGUAACUGAUGUCGAAUUCACUUAGUUCUACCGACUACUUAACUAGUCUUCCUGAAAUGUCCGGUUUGUGCAAAAUUUGUCUCAAAGGUUGAUUAGUGACUACCACGAUCUCAUGAGCUUGAAAAUAUGGCCUCACCUUUCUUGCGGCUACAACUAAAGCCAUCACCCACUUUUCUACAAUAUGAUAUCUUACUUCUACCCCUGUAAGAGAUCUGCUCAUGUAGUAUACAGGUCGUUGUACUUCAUCUUUUUCUUUUACCAUGACUGAGCUAGUUGAAUAAUUUGAGACCACCAAGUAGAUCAAGAAAACAUCACCCACUAAGGGCUUCGCCAAAGUGGGUACGUUGGCCAAAUACGCCUUUAAAUGUUAAAAUGUUGUCUCACAUUCUUCCGACCACCUCAAUCUUUUUCCUUUCUUUAUCAAUUUAAAAAACAAAUGGCAUUUAUCUGAUGAUUUCAAAAUGAACCUACUCAGCGCGGUAACUUUUCCAGCUAAGCUCUGAACAUCUUUACGAUUCUUCGGCGACCUCAUCUUGAGGAUGACCUCUACUUUUUCCAGAUUAGCUUCUAUCCCCUUUUGACUAACUAGGAAGCCCAAAAAUUUCCUUGAUUCUACUUCAAAGACACACUUUGCCGGAAUCAACUUCAUCUGAUUCUUUCGUAGCACUUCAAACGUCUCACGCAAAUGCGUUGUAUGUUUGACUGGCUCAACAGACUUGGUUAUCAUGUCAUCUACAUAUACCUCCAUCGUUUUACCAAUCAAGGGCUUGAAAAACUUGUUUACCAAUAUUUGAUAAGUAGCUCCAGCAUUUUUUAAUCCGAAUGGCAUCACAUGGUAGCAAUACAAUCCUUGAUCAGUCACAAAAGCUGUCUUUUCUUCAUCUGCUGUGGACAUACGAGUCUGGUUGUAUCCUAAGAAUGCAUCCAUAAAACUCAUCAAGUCAUGCCCGACUGUUGAAUCCACUAACUAAUCAAUCUUUGAGAGAAGGAAACUAUUUUGAGGACAAACUUUGUUGAGGUCGGUAAAGUCCACACACAUCCUCCAUUUUCCAUUCGCCUUUUUAACCAUUACCACAUUCGAAACCCAUUCUAGAUAGUUCACUUCCCUUAUAAAUCCCACUUUCAACAAUUUAUCUACCUCAUCAUGGAUGGCCGCAUACCUUUCCUGGUUGAACAUUCUUCUUUUCUGCUUCACUGGCUUAUGUUUUUUUAUCUAUAGCUAACUGGUGACACAUGAUUCGUAGGUCUAUUCCCGGCAUAUCUUCAUGUCUCUAAGCAAAUAUGUCAUUAUACUCCACUAAUAAAUUCUGAAGCUCAUUGGAAAUGUCAUCUGUUAUCUUUGUUCCCACUCUUACUACUCUGCUUAGAUCAUCCUCACUUACUGGCACUUGUUUCAUUUCUUCAUUAGGUUGCUGUUGGCAUAACCUAUUUUCAGCUCGUGGAUCAAUACUUGUGAUCUGUAUGGAUUCUCUCGCAAUUGUAGUGUAACAGCUUCGAGCCACUUGUUGUUGGCCCCUCAUCACUCCAACUCCACCUUGAACUCUAAACUUCACACAUUGCAUAUGAGUUGAGCUCACUGCUCCUGCUAUCCUAUUGAACGGUUUGCCCAAAAUAACUUGAUAAGGGCUUGGCUCAUCAACUACCAAUCAUGUCACCAUCAUUGUCUUUAGUAACCUCUUAUCUUUUAUUGCAGCAUAUAUUUCUGCUCUGCUCGUGUUCAGUGGUGUGUAUCUUCCACUCUGUUCUAAUAAAUUCACCCCAUUAGCAGGUCUCGAUCCUCUCCGGUCUACAGGUGGUGGCAACCUAUUGUAAUCUCUUACUUGGUUCUCCCGUUGGUUCCUCAUAUAAUUAUUUCCUCCAUCUCGGCCUCUUCCUACUAAUGAGAUUCCUCUUCUUUCACGUUUUCCUUCCCAAUUUCGACCCGACCUUUCUAGUUGUCUAUAAUUAAACAACCCUUUGUCGUAAUGACUCCUAUCAUCUGUGUUCAUCCUCGAGCUAUACCCAAAGUUAUCUCCUCUCCUUCUCAGGUCUCCCCUUCUCACCGAACCCUCUGUCUGCAUUUCCAUUCUCCUAUUUUCUUCCUCUGCAUCUUCAAUUUUCAUAUCCAAUUUUUCUUGGUCGUGCGCCUUAGUAUAUGUUGUUAUCCUCUUACUAUAUAAGCUAUUCCACAAUCGAUUGAUUCUCAACCCCUUCUUUAAUCCCUCUAGAGCAUCCGGGUGAUCAAAGGCCCCUAGAUCGGUAGCCUCCUUAUGAUACCUGGUCACAAAACUCCUCAAACUUUCAAAUUCUCGUUGGACCAAUUUUUUCAAUCUGCUCGUAUCUUGCUCUGGUAUGCAUGAACCUCUAAAACGCACAACGAAAAGCUCACAUAACUCCUUGAAAUUUUCUAUGCUUCCCUUCUUUAAUCUUCGGUACCACUCCCGUGCUUGUCCUUCUAAGGUUAAAGGAAAAACACAACACCUUUGAAAAUUAUUCAAACCUUGGAUCCCGUUCAUCUUAUUAAACUUCUCCACGUGAUGAUUCAGGUCAGUUUUUCCUUCAUACACCAAGGCUGGAACCACAUACUUGGAUGGCAAAGUUACCACCAUCACUUUACGUACCAAGAGGGACUCGUCAUCAAGUAACAACCUUCCUAUUACUUUCUUGCCCUCUGUUUUCACCUCUAAUGCCUCUAGUGUUUUUUGAAAUUGCAGCAUUCGCUGCUCAAGCUCAUUUGCCUGGUGGGCGUCUCUCAACUCUUCCAUCUCCCUUUCUUGAUUCAAGUCAUUGAUUUUCCAUCUCAACUCAUUCACUUGUUCUCCUACACUUCUAUUCUCUUGUCGUACCCCAACUUAUGGUAGUCCCUUUCCGCUCUGCUGUUCACCACCAAGCUCUUCCAUCUCUCAUGUUCUACUACUCUCUAGGUCACUAGCUCGAACUUGAGCACCUCUGACUUGGGCAUCAACCAACCCCCUGAUCAUCUCCUCAAAUUUUGCCAUGUGCCUCUCGAUCCCUUCUCUCCAUCUCUUAUCUGUCGUGGCAUUCAUUUCCUCUGCCAAUUGGCGCAAGGUCUACCUAUUUCCAUCAUUAUCAUCCAUUGUUGUUUCGUAAUCUGAUAGCCUUCUCCUUCUAAAUCUUCAAACGUAUGGCUUUUCGUACCUUUCCUCACAGACGGCGCCAAGAUGUUGAUGCUGAAAAACGACCUCAACAGCUGAAUUUGUUUUCUUUUGGGGAAUUACAGUGCGAAUCCAAGCUCAAACGUCGGUCUGAACCCAGCUUUAUAUUCCUGACAACCAGAAAACACGGUUAGGAUACGCCGGUGGGGUCCCGGCGUAGACCCUCCGAUGCUUAAGUCAGAAAUUGUGUAUAAGAAAAAGGUAAAUGAGAAGGGAGAAUUGUGAAAAGCGAAAAUUAAGGAAUUUUUUCGGUAGAGAAAACUAAAAAUCUUGUCGGGAAUCCUAAGACUUUUAGAGAGGUGACUUAUAGAAUUUUUGGUUCAUUUUUCUAACCCCUUCCUCAGUUGCCCCUUUCAGCUUAAAUAGGCCCUUGGUCGUGGGUGGUUACCACCUUUAACUUCUGCCCACUGUCUUCAGCAGUUGCACGUGGUCAUCAGUUGGAGACGGUUUAAAUGGAUCGUGGCACACAACUUUUCGAGAAACUAGGCCACGUUAUCUCAACCGAUAGCUUUCUAUGUCAAGCUAAUUCUCGGGUCGGACAAAUAAAUUUCGAGGUCGGAUUUCUUCACUUUCAGAUCGGACCGAUGAAUUUCCUAGUUGCUCAUAUAGGCUUAAGGUUGUAUUCUUAAAUAAGGUCAUUUAUAUAAAUCUCAGGUCGUACUUGUAAAUCAGGCCGCCAACAUAGGCUCCAGGUUGUACUUACGAGGUUAGCUCGACGACAAUGAGUUCUGAGUAGAUUGGGGUCGACUAUAUUUCUAAACAUUACUAGAAAAAUCCAACCCGAACAAUGUUGACUCUUUCUAGAGGUUAUCAGAAAAAUCCAACCCGAACAUUCAUAAAUUAUUAAUCUAAACCUGCUGGUUUUGAUCCAAUUUCUUCUAUGGUUUUACUUGUUUGUUUUAGAGCUAAGUACAAGAUCAUCCAUUGAUCUUGUCUCCAUUGGUCUUGAUUGAUCUUGGGGUUUCAUUUGAUCUAUGAAACCUUGGAUUGUUUCAAAUUUUCUUCUCUGUUUCAUUGAUGAAUCCCGAUGGCUAUACAAAAUCGUCUUUCCUCUACUGCAAGCAGGGGCUUUGGGGCGACUGCAAGGAACUGGGAUGAUGGUACGUGUUCAAGCGUGCAAAUUUGCAGAGAAUGAAUUGAGCAAGUGUUGAUUGUGCCUCCAGCACUUCUCAUUUUUGCUCCAGCAAAACUCCAUGACUAGUUGUUCUAAGAACUUCUCAGCAGUUGACUCAUUAUUGUUUGGACUGAAACCUUCAGCUACCCACAAUUGAUACAAUUAAAGUUUCAAGAAAAAAAAUAAUGUGAAAUGGUAUUAAAUCCUCUUACAAUUUGAACUUAUAUGGGUUUUGAAGAAUCUUAUGAUAUAUGUGUAUUUUUAUUUAUAUACAAUCAAGAUUUAUUCAUUAUUUUAUUUCAUAUAAUAACACAUAAUUACAUAAUUGUAGUAGCUCAGAUCGGUAUAGAAUCCUAAAAUGUGGAAUAUGCAAACAUUUGAUACUCACUAGAGAUAUGCCAAGUAUCUAGCCAAUUCUUUUCUAAUGACACAAUUCCAUGGUAGAAGAUGAGAAAAGGCCGUCGGUAACUUUUAGUGGUACUCCUGCAGGCACUAACUUAAUCCCAGUGUUCUCUCCAUUUUUCAGUUGGAACGAUGUGAGCAAGUCUAUUUGAGAAAGCUAACAGUCUAAUUCAAUAAUGGGCUGAAGAUCUUUUUCUAAUUCUCCAUCAGUUUUGAUCUUUUUCAGCAUUUGAUCGCAGCAUAAUCCAAGUUGUGUUGUUUCCACAAGCACUCAGCAAAGAAGUAACGAUUUCUUAUCUCUGCGUGAAGGUUUUGAAUAUGUUGUUUAGCAACCUCGAGCAACGUGACUCCGUCCCUUCCCGUCUCAUCACGCGGUAGUCCUAGCAUGCAAAGUAAUUAAAAGACAUCAUGAUAAAAAAAUAAAAAAAUAAAUCUUUAGAUCUCUUGAUGAAUAAUGAUAGAGGAGCAACUAUCUUGUAUAAAUAAAUUUGUACAGACUGAUGUGAUAUGAAAAGAUUAAUUGUAUAAAAAUAACUUUAGCUGUUGAUGAAACUCAACUCCGAUUGACACACUAUGAGUGAUAUCUAAUUCUCUAACUAAUCCAGCAGGAAGUUGCUAUUCAAAAAAUUGAAUAAAGAUUGGUGACCAAUCAUUAUGUAAAAGGAAUAGAAAGAAAAAUUUUAUAAAAUGCAAAUUAAUUAAUGUUUAGCUUUUAGGAAAGGAGGUUAGUGCAACUUGGAAAGAUUCUAUCUAGAAACCAUCAUUUUACGAAUUAACCUGUUUGUCAAUGCAUUUCUAAAUGGAAGAUAGUUGGUCCUGGAAAAUGAGCCAAAUUGUGCUUGUGCUCAAAAUAACAUUUGCUAAAUGCUAAUGUAAUUGCUACCGAAACGCUAGCUUUCAUUUUUUUUUCUUUCUUUUUAUCUGAUUUUUCAUCAUAUGAAACGUGAGAGUGAAAUCAAAACUUGUGAAUAAGAUUCAAACAUGUACAUAUAGUGGAUCUAACAAAAUAAUGAAAUGGAAUUAUUUUGUCGAUAAUUCAAAUAAUAAAGCACCUAUUUUUUCUUAGAAUAAUCACAAACUUCAAUAUGCCGAUGAUAUAUAUCUUAUUGAGAUUAAAAACAACACAAGCAACCUAUUACGUGAAAGGAAUAGAAAAAAAAAAAAGGAUGUUGAAUUUUAUUCAACGUGGGUAUUAAUGGAUGAAUGAUUUUGGUAGAAUUGAAGUUUUUUUUUUUUAAUGCAAAGGCUAUAAGGAUCAUUUUUAAUGCAAACGGGGAUUUCUCUGCUGCAAAAGACGGCUUUGGUAUGAUUGUAAGGAAUUGAGAGUGAGCAGCACAUCCUGCGUGCCAUCAAAUUCUUUGCACUACAGGCACCCUCUGCAUGCUGUGGAGGGAAAAAUAUGAAAACCAUUACAACUGCUCUUCGUUCUCUUAAUCCAUUGGGGCUGCUAAUCAAUCAAUAGAGAAAGAAUUCAGUCAUCAAUUUUGACAAAGCUUCCAAAACGUACAACACUAGAGAUAAAAUCUUCCACUUUCAGAACUUUACUGGUUAAAUCUUCUGCUCCAAAUCACCAAGGAUUAGUGCUGGUUUUCGAUUUUACAUGGGCUGUUGGACAACCUAAAUUGAUAAGGGCUUAAUCUCCAAAUAUCUGAAGAAUAUGAAGAUUAGGCAAUAUGCUCCAGUUUCUUUUUGUUGCGUUUAAUCCUCUAACAGUACCAAGAUCAAACACCCUAGACCAUCUUUGAUUUGAUGUAUGAAGACUCAUUCUCAGAAAUCCGAACUAAAAAUUGAAUCAAAGUGCCUACAUCCAGUGAAGAACAAGGAUACAAGUUGUCAAGCUUUCACUAUUUCACAAAUCAAGGUUACCAGGAUGUAGAGCUUGUUACAGAGAACAAGAAUAUACAACUUUUUAUUUCAACUCUCUCUCUCUCUCUCUCUCCAUAGCUUUGAUGAGAUUUGAGAAGAUGGCCCAUCAACCAGCCUUAUAAACUACGAUAAAGGCUAUCUCUAACAAUCCUUGAAUUUUCCUGCACUUAUUUAACUAACCCCAACUCAAUUCUGACCAGCACUCUGACCCUUAUUAUGACCGACACGUCGGUGAAAUUCCAAAAAACCGAACAACAAUGUCGUUCUGCCAGUGUUGACAUGAUGAGAUGAGAUCACAUCACAAAUACUUUUCUUCUAACUGAAGUACUAAGCUUGAAGUUGAACUGUACCGCUACUUAAAAACUAGAGGAAGAAAUAAAAUAAAAAUAAAAACAAUAACAAUAACAUAUAUCAAUUUGAAUGUUGACAAAUUGAAUACACACAAGUGAAACUGAAAAUAGAAAGUAAAACAAUUAAUCAGACUUUUGCACAAUAUAUUAAUCCGAACAUGACAUUAUUACUUUUAGCAAGCAAAUCCUUGAAAACAAAGAAACCAAACAAAGUGUGGACAACACAGCAGCAGUGAACACUGAAAGGAUGAAGGCUGGAUUCUGGUUGAAAUUGAAACUUUGGCUGCAGUGCAGUUAAGAUAGUUUCUGCUCUGCUUUUACCUACACAUACAACUAAUUGAAGAUCGCAUCAUACAGUUUUUAAUGAAUGGUGUCAGCAUUAGGAACUGUGAUGGACACAUCGAGUUUAUGUUAAGAAUGUAGAAAACACUUUAUAGUACGAUUAUAGUUUAGGCAUUUGCGCACUAUCAAAUCUGUUGUAGAGAAGAAAACAUUUAUAUGAAAUUAGAUCAAUAAUUAAAGGUUGAAGUUAUUGGAGAAGAAGAUAAAACUUACAUCAAAUUCAAUCGGGGCUAAUCAAAUUCCGUAAGGAUAUAGCCGAACACCAUACUGCUCCUUAUCCUCGAAUUCCCGUAGCUUUGUCUCAGCUCCGGCUGCGGCCACCAACACUCGAAAUUGUUUAAGCUCUUUAUGCCCCAGAGCUGUUCAGGAAACAUUUUCAAGUAAGCACAAGGGUUGAUAAUCAAGCAUUCUAGUUUUGGCAUGACUGCAAUCCCCAUAGUCCACUCCUCUAGCCAUAGCAUUGAUUUCAGGUGCAACACCUUGAGGUUCGGAAAACCAUAAGAGCCACAAGUCAGCUUUCUACCUGAAUACGAGUUUUGCUUCAGUUUGAGCACUUGAAGAAGCGGCAGCUUUUCUAGUGCCGGCAUGGGAUCAUCCAUUAGGUCAGUAUUAGAAAAACUCACGUGGGUUAGACUAUGAGGAAAUAGGUAUUCAGCAAGGACGAUUUUGUAGAGCCGUGGCAUCUUGCUUUUAUUUUCCAGCUUCAAUGACUCGAGAUUGCUCAAUCCGCAGAGACUUUUGGAUAACAAAGAUUGAUAAUAACUAAAAUCUCCCCGUAUCUGGAGAUUUCAAAGAUUAGGUAGUCUGGCCAGUAUAUCUUCAGUACAGCAGCAAGGAUUCAAGGCUGAAAUGAAAUUGAGAUUUUCCAGAGAGCCGCAAUAUUUUCCUGGAUGCGCAGGAAGUGUGAUUGAGCCAAAAUUUAGAUGCCUGAGUUUGUUCAUAUUCCAAAAUUCAUCUGCUGUAUGAUCUAUGUAGCUAAAGGGCAUGUCUAGGGUGUAGAGGUUCAGAAGAUUGCUAAAUAAUGAUGAAGGCAGGCUUUUGAGGGAAGGGAUAUUCAACUUCAAAUAUCUCAAAAGGAAUAAAAUUUCAAUUCCGAAUGGAUACUGGAUGAGAACAAGAGAUCACAAGUCCAAUACUUUGAGAAGUUUGAACAUUCCACAAAUUUUCUCCCAAUCCAUGGGGUCAAAGUGGCGGGUUUCUGGAGAGCAGAACAACAAAGACUGCAGUUGCAAGUCAUAAUCAUCUAAGCAAGCGAAAUCACCCUCUCUUUCAACAGCGUUUAACCGUUUGAAUUUUUUUGGUGAUUUACCUUCUGGAUCCAUGAAAGGGGAAGAGAUAAAUUCCACCAUAUAAGGAACUGACAUCAACACAGGAUGGCAACAGCUACGAAUAGAGCAUGUGUUGAUAGUGCCUGCAGCUUUUCUCUUCUUUGCUUCAACAAAGCCUCCCUUGAUUAGUUGUUCUAAGUAAUUCUCAGCAGUUGCCUCACUAUUGUCUAGGAUGAAACCUUCAGCUAUCCACAACUAAUAUAACUGCCUGGUGGAUAUCUCUAGGUGUGCGGGAAACACGGAUAAGUAGAGAAAACAAAGUUUCAAGCAAAAAGGUAACUUGCAACAUGUGAAGCCUACAAUCCCAACGGGUGUAUCCAAUACUUCCUCUAUAUUUUCUUCUAAUGAGAUGCUUCCAUGAUAUAAGAUGAGGAAAGGCCAUCCUUGGUAAGUAACUCUCAAUCGUCCUCCAGUGGGCACAAAAUCAAGCCGAAUGUUCUCUCCGUUUUCGAACUGAAAUGAGGUGACCAUCUCAAUUUGAGUGAGUGUUAUUAAUACUCGACUUCCAUUCUGAUUAUCUGGAAGUAUUUCUCGAAUAACAUCCAAUACAUCAGUGCUCCACACGUCAUCAAUCACAAUCAAAUACUGCUUGGUCAUUAGAUAUUCAUGAAGAAUGAUUUUUUUCAUUUCAUAAUUUUUAUCCUCUAUUUCACUCAACCUAGAUGAAGGCAUUAGAAACUUAAUAAUGAUAUCUAAUAUUUGGUCAGCUUCAUACGGAUAAGGCUCCCGAAUCCAAGUGUGACAAUCAAAAUAAUGCUUCGCAUAACUGCUGUUGUAAGCCUCUCUGGCGAAAGCCGUCUUGUCCAACCCAAUGCUAUCAAGUAUGACCACCACUGAAAGCUGAGGUGGUCCCUCAAUCAACAGAUCUAACAACUCCACCAUUCUAUCAUCUAGACCCACCAUUUCCCGGUUUUUAGAAGAUGAAAAUAUACCGGCUUCAGCUUCAAGAGUUUUGAUGUCGUCCAUGAGGUCGGAAUCCAUGUGCUUAAGUUGUUGCAUCCGUUGCUUAAUAUCAGUGAUUCUGCUUUGGUGUCCUUGCAGAGCAUCACAAACGUCCUUGCUGUGGCUGCUUUGAAUCUUCUGUUCACUGAUGCUGUUGAUGAAUGUGUCAAUCACCUUCUCAGAUUCAUACGUAAAGCAAUUGAUUUGAUCCAUAAUGGUCCCAAGAUCUGGGUCAUCAAUUUCCUCUUUUCCUAUUUGUUGCACCAGAAGCCAGGACGUUUCAUAUUCAGAGUCCCUCAGCCAGGAAGUAACGAUUUCAAUCUCGGCGAGAAGGUUCUGAAUAGGUUGUUUUACAGCAUCAGGCAACGUGGCUUCUUCACUAGCUAACACCCUUCUCAACCUCUCUGAAAAUAGUCUGAAGUUGAUGUCCAUAUCUCCUCCUCUCUCAGAUUCACCCUGAAAUCAGUCCUGUACCAUGCAAAGAAAUAAUUAAAAGAGAGAGGGGAAAAGGAAAAUAUGCUUUAAAGCUCUCAAUUCAAACAUUAGUGCUGGCUCCCAUACCUUCCUUCUCUUCGCUAGUUCUCCAGUCAAGAAGUUGAAUCAAGAUCGUUGACUCUCAAAUUAGAACAUAUCAAGGCAGAAUCUUACAAUAAUCUCGUCUUCCAUAUGAUGAAAAAAGAAUAAAGCAGAGAAAAAUAAACAGGACAUCGUCAAGUACCGAUCAAGACCGAUUUGUUUUAUACAUCCACUUUUGAGAAAGAAAGGAAGGGAUAAAAACAAUUCCACUGGGACUAUAAAAGCUUGUCUAAAAUGAAGAGAACAGAGUAAGCACAACAGCGUUAUCAAUUAUUUAAUAAUUAAGCUGUGGAAAAAUGCAAAAUCAUGUCUGGUGGGUUAAAUUUAUUGCGAGACUUGCAUGUAUGUAUAUCACAGAUAAAAUUUUUAUCCCAGGGUUAUAAAUGUAAAAUUACUCAAAUAAAUGUGCAUUAUUAAUCAUGUACGGUGCUAUCUUAUUUCUUCAACGAGAUUUAGAGAAAGUACUAAAUCGUUUGUAAAACUACAUACAUAUCCCGCAGAAAGUUGGAGAUCUUUUUAGCAUUCUUUUUUAAGAAAUGAAAAUUGAUAAAAAGUUCUAAUGUGACAAAAAAUAAUAAUAAAUUGUGCAAUCUUACAAUGUUAACUGAAAAAUAGUUAUAAUUUUUUAUUUAACAUUUUAAAUUUUAUUUAUAGUUGUUUUGUCGCCAUUGUAUGGUUCUUUGAUUCAAAUAUCAAUAUUAUAUGAACCCUCACCAUUUUGAAAGGAUUACAUCUUAAAGCACUAUUUAUAAUUAUGUUCAUUUGAGCCCUUAGUGUUAAAAAUAUAACAAUCCAUCAAAUGAAAUCAAUGAUAAUCGAAUUCCAAGUAGGAAUCGCAGAAAAAUCCGAUCUAGGUAGAGCAUGUUUUCGAAGUACUCUGGCUGGAUUUGGACUUUGGUUAAAAAACCCGAACCCAGCUCGAAAGCUCAAAACAAUUGAAAAUUUUUUAAAUAUAUGUUAUUUUAAUUAAAAUACAACUUUUAAUAUAUUUAAUCCACUCAUAGCAUAUAUUUAAAGUUUUAAAUCAUUUGAGUCCAACUUUUAAAGCCUAGUCUAACAAAGAAGAAACUAAAUUUUAUAAACUAUAAAUUUGUAAACUAUAAUGAAAAAAGUUUUUUUUUUUAAAAUGGAAUGUAUACUUCAGACUUUUUGGCUUGGCUUGAGAGAAAAAGAAAGAAAAAAAACAUGUUUUGCCAUCCCUAAUUCCAAAGCUUUAAAGACUUCUCCAAAUGUAUAGUACAACAUUGUAUAGGACCAAUCACACGGAGAUGAUUUGAAUUUUUUAACACAAUUUUAAUGCAUAUCAGAAGAGAGGCAGCAAUCUUAGUUGAUACUUUUAUUUGACAUAUGAUGUAAGAAAUGAAGCAAAGAUUGUAACGUUACAAACUUUGCAAUUCAGCAUCCAAAAUAUCACUAGAACUUGAAAUACAAGCUUUAAUCUCUUCAACAACACGUCGAAUUGCGGCCAGGAACACAGACGCAAAGAUGGGUAUCAAGAUCACAUUCAAACGAAUGACAGGGAUUGUCACAGUCAGCAUUGCUUUUACAAGUGACUGCUUUUGAUUCCGGCUGGGCAUCAACUGUCGGCAUGGAAAUAUGAAACAACAUGCCUACAUAUAUAAAUGUCAAACAAUUAAUCAGCCUAAUGGUAGUAACACACAUGCAUAUAUAAAUGCCAACCAAUUAGUUGUCAUAUUAUAGUUAAUUAUUGAUGCAGCGGAAGUUUAAUGUUUAAAUAUUCCGUUGAUUUUAGAGAAUGCCAGAAUAAAAAAACAAUUAAAUUCACAUUGAUUUAAAAGAAUGCCGCGAAUUUAGGUGUUAAGACUCGUUGAUUCCACAGAAUAUCGAGAAUUAACUGAAUUCAAAUACUGACACAGAGUUUUGAAAACUGAAAUAUUAUUAAACUCGAAUCUCUCUACUUGUAAAAGCUGCAAAAGACACUUAUUUAUACUAACCGAGACUUAUCCUAAUUUGAUUAGAAAACAUAUUUUAAUAAGACUUAUACCUAAAUUAUGAAUAUUACCCAAAUAAGCAAUACCUAAAAAUUAAGACUCUAAAUAAGAAACCAAAUUAAAUUAGAAUACAAAUUAAUUAAAAUGUAAGGUACAAUUUUUUCACUUAAAUAUAAUAUAAUUUACUUUAAGCUAACAAGCCCCUUAAGUAUUAAAAUAAUAAUAAUAUAAAAUAUUUAAUUCUAAGUAAUGAUGACAUAAACAAUGACAUAAGUAGUGAUGAUAUAAAUAAUGACAUACGUGAUGACGUAAGAGAAGUAUAUAGAGAAAGUUAAGAAUUCUAGAAUUUAGUAAGGUAUUUAUGAAGAAUAAUCUCAACUAUUGAUCAAGAGUUAUGGUGGCAAAAUUCUAUCCAUCCAUUAACCUUAAGAAAUCCUAUAAAUACCACCUACCCCAUUUCAUUUUCAAUGCAACCUAGAAAUUUCACUCUCUUCUAUUCUAAGUUAUAACAUCAAGAGUAGAGAAAUUCUCAAUUUAGAUAGGUCUAGAGAAGUCAAUGCCAUGAGGUAAGUAACACUUCAACUACAAUGUAAGGACAAAAAAAAUUUCAUACUUAACUUUAGUUUUAACCAUUCGUUUAUGUUAUGAUGCCUAUUAUGAUAUGAUUAGUUAUAAUCUAAAUUCUUAUAUGGUCGAUUCUGCUGCUUAAUCUAUGAUACUUAGUUACAUUAUGGUCGGCUCUUAUGCCUAAGCUAUGAUACUUAAUUAUGUUAUGGUUGGUUCUACCAUCUAAUUUGUGAUACUUAUACUUAAUUAUGCUAUGGUCGGCUAUGCCGCCUAUAUUAAAGAAUCUUGUUCUUAAAUAGUGUUGUGUGUUGAUUUUGUUAUGCAUCUAGGAAUUUCAAAUGUUAUGACAUAAGUUGCAUUGGAUACAUGCAUAUCAUGGAUUACAUUAUGAAAAAGAUGUUUCAGAAAAUGAAUUUAUGAAAAAUAGGUGGUUGUACUACCAAUUAGCAAAGUUUUUAAGGAGGGUAAGCCCCCAAAGCUAAGUAAAAAAAAAUCUUUUGGGGAUGACGAUACGUAACGCCCAAAAGAUCAACUAAUAAGGCCCAAGGGCAUAUUGUUUAAAGAGUAAAAGUGUCAGCCUUGCAGUGCAACAUACCUAGAGCCCUAAUGAAAUUGUUUUGUAUUUUCUAAGUUUCUUUUAAAAGCUUAAUAUGGUCAUCCAUUUGCAUCAUAAUUUAUGCAUGCAUAAAAGUGUUAUCUUACUGGGUAUUAGCUCAUAAAGUCCUUACAUUGCAGGUAACAAUGAGUAGGGCAAGCUGGAGCCAAGUCCUAACCAAGACGAAGUACAUAUGGGCAUAGCAGACCUUGGGAUUUUAUGAUGAGCUCAGCUUUGUUUCAUUAAAAAAAAAAAUAAGCAUCUUAAUUUUAUGUAAUAAUAAAGUUUUUAUACUAAGAAGUUUCUGUAUGACUUACUUUUUGUAAGAAAGUUUUGUUUGUUGUGAAUUUUUGUUAAUCUGUAUUUAUAAAAGCACAGUAUUUAAAGCAUCUUUAAAAUGAAUAUUUAAGUGGAGUUUUAUAUAAAAUAUUCCUAAAUAUUAUAAAUUUCAAUGUAAUUAGAGUUUCUUCAAUUUCUUACUCUGCAUCAUUCCCGCCAAAAUGGAGAAAAUUUGCCCUCAAAUUUUGUAUGUUGUAGUCUUCAAGAACAUCUUCAUGUGCAUAAGGAUUAAUUUUUAAAACAGGGCUUCGAUAUAGACGAAAAACUGUAAAUUUUCCUACUUUUGCAAUAACGUCCAUCCAAUCACUCUAAUGGCGUAAAAUAAAUUCUUCUAUCAACAAUUUAUCUAAUAAUGUCUUCUCGUAUUGUUCGUGUCGAACUUCAACAUAGUUGAGGAAAAAUGAUUUCUUCACAUAAUACACUAACUGUUGAAAAAUAUCACAACUAUUUUUGUCUUCUUUUGGCAAAUCAAGAGAACAAUAAGAGAUUGUAUCAACAACUACCUCUUUUUGCUCCAGAAGAUCAAAAGAUGUAGCCACAAUAUCAAGAUACUCAUCAAAUUUCGGUAGUUGAUCCAAAUCAAUGUCUUUUUGUUGAGAAUUUGUUGUAGACACCAAUAGCUAAUUAAUAUUCUCCCCGGAGGGAAUAAUAUUGUUGAGUGAAACAAAGUUACUAUUUUCCUCAUUAUCCUUAUAACAAACAUCAUCACGAACAACUUCAUCAAAUCCAUAUGUCUGCUUUAUGUGUAAAGAUUUUCUAUCUUGAAGUAAUCUUGAGAAAUCAAAUGCAAAAUCUUCAACAUCCUAUUUAAAACUUCUUUCAAGACAAAAUCUUCACGGCGAUGUUGUCAUUUCAUGAUUCAAUUGUUUUUCUUCUUUUCCUCCUUUUUUCGGGUGUUUGUUUGGGUUUCAAUUUUUUGGCUAAGAUCAGAAAAUUAAAGAAAAAUACUGAAAUAGAAGAAAGUACUGGGCCAAGGCUGAAAUUAAGCAAAAGUUUUAGAUUUCCUGUGACGGUGGUCGGAAAUCGAGCAAGGAUGGGUGGAUUUGAAAGAUUUUGGGCUGGUGAGUAUGAUGGUGGUGGUUGUUUGUCCGAAAAAGUGGUGUUUUGGCCAGAAAUUAUAGAUAAAGUCGGCAGUUUGAGGGCUUCGAUUUCCGGCGGUGUGAGCUCGAUUGGCGGUGAUUAAUGCUAGGAAAAGUUCAGCUGAUGGAGAGGAAUGGGUUGAUGGUGGUGCUUCUGGCCAUAUUGCACCGGAAAGUGGUGAACGGACGUGGUAGAAAUCACGGCAGUUUUGGCUUUUUUUCCGGCAACCUGUGGUUAAUCUACAGUGGAAGAUGCUUGGGGUUUGAUGGUUGGCGAUUUAUGAUCCGAAUGGUAGUGGUUGCGUCCGGAUCGGUGACGGAAAACUAAAGCCAGCAGCCUUGGACGGUGGGCGCGGGUUGAAGCUUUUGCUUCCGUUUUGGUUUUUUUUUCUUCUUCUUUUUUUUUUAUAAAGCUAAAUGGAAAAAAAUAAAAAAAGGAAAGGUUUGGUGGUAGAUGGGGUUAGAUUGGUGAUAUCAGAUUUUAACUCUAAUUUUAAGCUGAUGUAAUGGAAGUUUAAUGUUUAAAUAUUUCGCUAAUUUUAUAGAAUAUCAGAAUAAAAGAAUAAUUAAAUUCACGUUGAUUCCACAGAAUACCGAGAAUUAAUUGAACUCAAAUACUCACACAAAGUUUUGAAAACUGAAAUAUUAUUAAACUCGAAUCUCUCUGCUUAUAAAAGUUAUAAAAGACACUUAUUUAUACUAACUAAAACUUAUCCUAAUUUGAUUAAAAAACUUAUUUUAAUAAGAUUUAUACCUAAAUUAAGAAUAUUGCCCAAAUAAGUAAUGCUAAAAAUUAAGACUCUAAAUAGAAAACCAAAUUAAACUAGAAUACAAAUUAAUUAAAAUAUUACUAAAUAUUAUAAAUUUCAAUGAAAUUAUGAUUUUUUUUAAUUUCUUGCUUAGCGUCAAUUAUGCAUGCAUUAAAAAGAUGAGGAAGAGAAGAUUAAGUAACAAACAUGAGGCCACCAAGAGAGUAUGAAAAAUGUGGAUUUAAGUUUAAGUUCCAUAAUGUUUAUGUUAGCAAAAGUGCAAAACAGAGAGUCUGAGGAUAAUGAUAUUAUUAAAUUUAAUAUGGGUUUGGUUUGUUUAGAUUCAUGAGUUUCUCUAGACUGAUAUGUGGGGGAAAAUUUAAUCCACUUGACAACUAAAAAAUUCAGAAAUCAAACCUCAAUUUGAAAAAUUAGAAAUUUAAACAAUUAAUUUUUUUCCAUAUGCAUGCAAAAAAUUAUAUCUAUGUAACUUGUCAUAUGCUAUAUAUAUUCUAUCAGGUGGAAGAUUUUCUAUUCAUUUGUAUCAAAUAUAUGGUAUCAAUCAAUAAAUUAUUGUUUUGUUAUAUAUACUUAUAGUAUCUUAUAGUAAACUAAGAAAUAUUAAAGAUCUUCUAGCGUGUUUUGAGUCGUAAAAUGUUUAAAAAAAAUUCAAUUCUAAAGUAUAAUUAACUAUUUUGUGUCCUAGGUAUUAUAAAAGGUCUUUGAAGUUUUUGGAUUUUUUUGACCCAUUUGUCAAUAAGUGAAACUAUUAGCACCACUUUAAACUCCUCAUAAAUCUUCUCUUCUAAAAGUACACCAUUAAAAACAUAUGUAAAUCACACUAAUUUUAAUGACACCUAUGUUAAUUUCACAAAUAACCUUAUAUAUUCUUUGUGCUUAAAAAAUCAUAUGAAAACAAAAAUCUUUUGUUACGAAACUUUUUCACCAAUUUAAUUUGAAUCUAAAAACUAGAUAAGAUACUCUAGGCCAUCUUCUUGAGUGGAGCUAUUUUAAUUCCACAAACGUCCUUGUACACUUCUUUCUCACUAACUUUACUAUGAGAGAGAGAAAAAAAAAUUAAAAAUAUAUUUCUUUUAUACUAAAAAAGGUUGCUAUAAGCUAAUCCAAUAUUAUUUUAUACUCUGAAUGUGACAAUUCGCAUGCUUUUAUAUGAACGCAUAAAUUGAUAAAAUCAAGAGAACAAGUAGCCAAAAUAGUAAGGCUCUCAUAAUUUGAAAAUAAUGAACUAAAAAUUUCAGUCCAACAGAAACCACUAAUUUAAGAAUAAAAAUAAAAUAAAAAAUAUUUUCACUAUAACAACAAAAUUAUCUUUUAUUUAAUAAAAAUAAAACCCAUGUGGGGUUAGAGGAAGAGAGAUGGAUUGUCAAACAUGAUUUGAUUAAAGUUAAAAAUAUAAAUUUACGAUAUAAGAAUUCUUUUAGAGGUAGCAAUAGCUCCACUCUUUUUUUUUUUUUUCUGUAGUUCUGCAAGUUCUAGGCGCAGGGAUUCUAUGAAAGUCUUAGAGGGUGCCGAUAACUUUCAAUAAUAUGCGUGUAGGUUAAACAAUAUUGAAUUAUUAGAUGGACCUUUCUACCUCUAUUUUACUUAUUUUGGAUGGAUGUACUUUAGAGAAUCUAUAAGAUAACCAUCCUCUUAUUUGAUCCAAUCCAAUUUAAUUGACUUACCGCUUUAUGUUAAUAUAUAAUUAUAUUUUCUUUGAAUUGUUAAUUGUUAUAAUAGUUCAGAGUUUUAUCGAGGAGAUAGCUCGAAAAUCAAACUAAUUCUUACUCAGAAGGGAGCGGAAAUAAAUUGUGAUAGAAAAUAAAUUAUUUGAGUGCUCUGCGAGUCAAAGACCCACCCUCAGAUAAACAACUAUCUUAAUAAAGCAGAGCAGCAAUGUCAUUCUUCUCGUUGGGUCUUUUCUUCAAACGUCUUCUGUACAAACAGCUCACCCGCCGUCAGAAUCUAUUUCCGCUCAUAAAACAAAAACCCAGAACCCAAUCAACAACACCCUCUUCCGUUCUGGUAAAAGUUUGCAUGAUAAUGAGUAAAUGAAAAAUAAACAGUAAUUCAAAGCUAUCCGAGGAUUUUUCUCAAUUUAUCCUUUAUGCAAUUGUUUGUUGUUUAUGGGUGUAUGAUUAUAUUUUAAAACAAAUAAAAAAAAAGUAAAGGAAAAGAAAAUUCGAUAAAGAAAAAGCGCUCAUUAUCCAAAUAAAAAAAAAAAAGGCAUCCAUCACUUUAGUUUCUAACGUGGCCAUCAGUCCUUUCUUUGUCUCUUCUUUUUAAUUUGUUACAUUAAUUUGUCAGCAUCAUUGCUGAAACUUGAUAACGAUAACUUAAUAACGAUAACGAUAACGAUAUAAACAAGAUCUUGGGCAUCGGAAACUUAAUAACGAUAUCUAAUAUUUAGUCGGCAUCGUCAGCAUCAUUGCUGUAAGGCUCUGAAAUCCAAGCGUGACAAUCAAAAUAAUGCUUCACAUAACUGCUGUUGUAAGCCUCUCUGGCGAAAGCCGUCUUGUCCAACCCAAUGCUAUCAAGUAUGGCCACCAAUGAAAACUGAGGUGGUCCCUCGAUCAAUAGAUCUAACAACUCCUCCAUUCCAUCAUCUUGACCCACGAUGUCCCUACUUUUAGAAGAUGAAGAUAUACCGGCUUCAAUUUCAAAAGUUUUGAUGCGAUCAAUGAUUUCGGAAUCCAUGUGCUUAAGUUGUUGCAUCUGUUGCUUAAUAUCAGUGAUUCUGCUUUGGAGUCCUUGCAGAGCAUCAAAAAUGUCCUUGCUACAGCUGCUUUGACUCUUAUGUUGAGCGAUGCUGUUGAUGAAUGUGUCAAUGACCUCCUCAGAUUCAUACGUAAAGCGAUUGAUUUCAUCCAUAAGGGUCCCAAUGUUCCCAAGAUCUGGGUCAUCAAUUUCCUCUUCUACUAUUUUGAGUAGCAGAAGGCAGGAGAUAUUGUUAAGAAAUUGGUGGGUGAAGUAGAAACGCAGCUACAAUGAAAUUGAAAGAAAAAUAAAGAACAAGCACAAAAAGGACACUAGGAAAUUACGUGGUUCGGCUUUUAGCCUAUGUCCACGGGCGAACACAAAAGUAAAAUAUUUUACUAGUGAAAAAGAGUUACAAGUAUUCAAGUAUUGUAGUAUUUUAACUCACUACCCAAAACCUCAAUACACUCAAACUCUCAAAUCACUAGACUCUUAAAAGCUCUCUGAAUAAAUAAAAGAGUUGAAGAACUCAAUGAUUUAUAAAUGAAGGGAGCCAGCAUUUUUAUAGCCUAAAUUGGCUACUGUUCAUUUAAUAAUUAAUUAUUAUUAUUAUUUUAUUAAUUUUUCUUUUCUUUUCCUUCUUCAGCCCGACAUCUCUUUUUCUUCUUUCUCUUUUGUUUCUUUCUUUUGUUCCAAUCAAAAAAACAGAAGUAAUACUUUCUUCUUCAAAAUGGGUGGGCCCACCUUCUAGAAGGGUGGAGCCCACAUGCCAUUUUUGUCAUUCUCCCACUUGGAGAUUAGAUUGAGAACCAAUCAAUCUCCACACCAUCCUUUCUGCUUUGCCAUUGUCAUAUUGCCUACGUUUCUACUAGGCCACAAGAGGAUCUACUUUAGACAAACUUGUCAGUAUUGAUUGGCUUGGUCAUAACAUCUCCUAGGUUCUACUUCAUAUGGAUUUUCUAUAAAUCCACAUUUCCAUCUUCCACUACUUCUCGAACAAAGUGAUACUAAACUCCUAUGUGCUUUGUCCUAGAAUGAAAAACUGGAUUCCUUGUAAUGUGCAAGGUACUCUGACUGUCACAAAACACAGAAAUUUUCUCUUGUUUGUGCCCGAGCUCCUCCGAUAACCUUUGUAUCCAAAUAGCUUCCUUGCAAGCUUGUGUAGCUACCAUGUAUUCUGCUUCUGUUGUAGAUAAAGCAACAACGGUAUGCAGUUUUGAAAUCCAACUUACAGCUGCUCUCGCAAGUGUAAACACAUAGCCAGUAGUAGAUUUCCUUUUAUCAAGGUCUCCUGAAAAAUCUAAAUCCACAUAGCCCCUGACAGUAAAUUUUGAUCCUCCAUAACAUAAUGCAACAUCGGAGGUUCCUCUGAUAUACCUCAUAAUCCUCUUCACAGUUAUCCAAUGCUCUCCACCAGGAUUCGUCAUGUAUCGACUGACUGCUCUCACUGCUUGUGCAAUGUCUGGUCUAGUACAUAUCAUAGCGAACAUCAAACUUCCCACUGCUGAUGCAUACGGUACUCAAGACAUCUUCUUUCUCUCUGCUUCAUUGCUAGGACACAUACUUGAGGAUAAUUUGAAAUUAACAGGAAGUGGGGUAAAGAUUUUCUUCAAGUAGUUCUUCUGAGAAAGCCAAAUCUUCCUGUUAUUUCUAUCUCGGUGAAUUUGCAUCCCUAGAAUUUGUUUGUUGGUCCCAAGUCCUUCAUUUCAAAUUCUUUAGCCAACUGUGCCUUCAAUUCUUGGAUUUGAUCUUUGUUGGGGCCUGCUACCAACAUGUCAUCCACAUACAACAACAAAAUAAUGAAAUCAUUAUCUUCAAACAUCUUGUAAUAUGCACAAUUGUCUGAAUUGAGUCUGUUGUAUCCAAGGCUCAUGAUGAAAGAAUCAAAUCUCUUAUACUAACACCUCGGUGCCUGUUUGAGACCGUAUAGAGAUUUGUUCAACUUGCAAACCAAGUUCUCAUUUCCCUUUUCAGCAAAACCUUCUGGUUGGAGCAUAUAAAUUUCCUCUUCAAGUUCUCCAUGAAGAAAUGCAGUUUUCACAUCCAACUGCUCAAGAUGUAAGUCAAAUGUAGCACACAUUGCCAAGACUACUCUGACUGUCGUGAGUCGAACCACCGGAGAAAAUAUCUCGUUGAAGUCAAUACCUUCUUUCUGAGCAAAUCCUUUCACCACCAAUCUCGCACGAUACCGUUCCACUUGGUCAUUGCCAUCAUGUUUGAUCUUAUAGACCCAUUUGUUUCCAAUGGCUUUUCUUUCGUGUGAUAGGGGUACAAGUUCCCAUGUCUUGUUCUUGUGUAGAGCUUCAAUUUCUUCAUACAUUGCUGUCAUCCACAAAGCAACAUUUGAGCUGUUUAAGGCUUCAUGGAAAGUUGAUGGCUCUCCAUCCUCUGUUAGAAGACAAUAUGCAACAUUGAUCUCUGUGACAUACUCCGAGUGCCACGAUGGCGGUCGUCUCUCACGAGUUGACCGACAAACUUCUAGAGCCUCGGACUCGACUGGUUCUUGUUCUUCGUGCUCUGGUGCUGCUUUAGAAGAAUCUAAAUCUUCUGGAUUAUUUUCCACAUAUACCGGCACAGUCUCUGACUUUUCUUUUACAGUGUCAUCAUCUUCAUCUUUCUUUUGCAGUUGAUCUUCUACAAAAAUAACAUCUCUGCUGAUGACGAUCUUAUGGGCAGUGGGGUCCCACAGACAAUACCCCUUUACUCCAUCAGCAUUUCCCAAGAAGAUACAUCUUUUAGAUUUUGGAUCCAGCUUUUUUCUUUCUUGGGCAUUGUACAUCACGUACACAGGACAUCCAAAUGCAUGUAGGUAGGAGUAAUCAGCUGGCUUUUCAGUCCACAUCUUCAUCGUUGUCUUCAGCCCAAUUGCUGUAGAUGGCGACCGAUUUACUAUACAACAGGCAGUUUUGGCUGCUUCUGCCCAGAUGAAUUGGGUAGACCAACAGUCCUCAACAUAGCUCUUAUCAUUUAUUUAAUAGUCAUGUUCAUCCGCUCUACCACUCCAUUUUGUUGAGGAGUGUAUGCCACUAUAAAUUGCCUCUGAAUACCUUCUUGCUUACAGAAAGCAAGAAACUCGUCGUCUGUAUACUCUCCACCAUUAUCUAUCCUCAAGCAUUUGAUCCUUUUCCUGGAUUCAAGUUCAACCCGCACUUUGUAUUCUUUAAAUACUGGAAAUACAUCUGACUUUUUCUUAAUUGAAUACACCCAACAUCUCUUGGAAUAAUCAUCAAUGAAAGUCACCAUGUACUUUGCACAUCCCAUGGACAUAUCCGGCGAUUUCCAAACAUCAGAAUGAAUCAAGUCUAUAAUGCAUUUACUUCUAACAAUAGAUCUACUGAACUUUAAUCUAUACUACUCACUUGUAACACAAUGCUCGCAAAAUGGUAAACUUACCGAUUUGAGCCUUGGAAGCAAUUUUCGCUCAAAGAGAAUCUUCAAACCUUGUUCUGACAUGUGGCCAAGUUUGAGAUGCCACAUUAUCAUUUACUCUUCUCCAUUUGAUGCGACACACACAUCAGCCUCCUGUAGUAUUUCUCCUUUAAGCAUGAAUAGAUUAGCACCGAUCUUUUCUGUCUUUAUCAAUACAAGUGUGCAUUUAACGAUCUUCAUAAUUCCAUUCUCCACAUGAGUUUUGUACCCAUGACUAUCCAUUUUUCCUAAAGACAAUAGAUUUUUCUGAAAGAAAUGCAUCCGGUACAUGUCUCAACUCCUAAUACGGGGCAGCACCCCUUGAUCAAAGGGCGCGCCGAGAGGGAACAACCUCGAGUAGGCCAUUGACAUGUCGUACCUCCCCAAUUGUGCGAAUUAUACCAUCAAACAUUUUCAUUUUGAUAGUACCAAUACCAGCAAUCUCCAAGGCAUGAUCAUCUCCCAUAUAUACAGAUCCUCUUUAGAUAGGUUCAUAUGUAUGGAACCAUUCUCUCCUAGAAGUCAUGUGCCAGGUAGCUCCUGAGUCUAUAAGCCAGACAUCCAAAUAGCUGUUUUCUGCCUUCUGAAAUAGUUAUUGCCUCGCUAUAGAUAAUUUCGCCAUCAUCCGAGAUACUUGCUACACACCCCUGAGCAUUUGAUGACUCAGGUUCUUUGCCCUUUUUUUUCUUCUGGUUACUCCAACACUCUUUCUUGACGUGCCCUUUCUUGCCACAGUUGUAGUAUUUAACAUUCUUCUUACUUCUAGAUUUUGAUCUACCAUGAUUGUGACUCCCACUGGGGUCACGUUCCAUUGAUCUCCCUCUCGUCACCGAUAGCGCCUCCGCUUGCUGCGAACUUGCUUGUCUGUUUUUCUUAUUUUUUCGUCUGCUCUCCUCAUUUAAUACGGAGGCUGCAACAUCGUCAAAAACUAGACUGUCUGCUGGAUUGUUGUUCGUCAGGUUGAUAAUGAGCUGAUCAUAUGGGUUCGGUAGACUUUGAAGUAAAAGCUCUGCAUGUUCAUUCUCCUCUAUAUUAUGACCCAACGUUGUGAGUUGUGAAAAUAAAAUUUUCAAGGUGUUGAUGUGGUCGGUCACCAUUGUAGAUUCCGCCAUUCGAAGAGUAUAGAGCUUCCUCUUCAAGAAGAUUUUGUUGUGUAGUGACUUGGCCUCGUACAAUUUUGUGAGAGUAUCUCAUAUUUCCUUCGCUGUAUUUUUCUCUGCCACACUGGAUAAUACUCCAUCUGCAAGUGCCAAGUGUAGAUCAGAAACGGUGUUGCCAUCUAUCUCGUUCCACUUGUCAUCAGUUAUCUCCAUGGGUCUUUCUCCAAUUGCUGCCAAGCAAUUAUUUUUCCUCAAUAUAGCUUUCAUCUUCAUUUUGCACAACGAAAAAUUAUUUCCAUUAAACUUCUCAAUUUCAUACUUUACCACCAUUUUGUUGAUAAAUACCACACACAAGCUAGUGUACCACCCUGAAUAGUUGUAAGUAUGUGUGAGAAUGCACACUAGGAAAGUUCCCAGGAAAGACUGGAGGGGUCACAAUGGUCCCACCUAAAACCCAGACUCCUUAAGCUCUUAUCGCCUUUGUGACAGAACUUUCCUAGACAUGUACAAAACCACACAAUUACUUUACUCACACCACUAUUCCCUGCUUUGGACCGCAAAAUUAUUAGAUCGAUCCCACCGUUUCUUGUGAACAGUAUCGUAUCUAUGAACAGUGCCGUAUACGUGAACAGUACCCGACUCUAAAGAAUACAACCAAUAGCUCUUAUACCACUGUUAGGAAAUUGGUGGGUGAAGCAGGGCCACAGCUAAAAUGAAAUUGGAAGAAAAAUAAAGAACAAGCACAAAAAGGACACUAGAAAAUUACGUGGUUCGGCUUUUAGCCUACGUCCACGGGCGAACACAGAAGGAAAAUAUUUUACUAGUGAAAAGGAAUUACAAGUAUUGUAGUAUUUUAAUUCACUACCCAAAACUCCAAUACACUCAAACUCUCAAACCAAUAGACUCUUAAAAUACUCUCUAAAUAAAUAAAAGAACUGAAGAACUCGAUGAUUUACAAAUGAAGGGAGCCCGCACUUUUAAAGCCAAAAUUGGCUACUGUUCAUUUAAUAUUUAAUUAUUAUUAUUAUUUUAUUAAUUUUUCUUUUCUUUUCCUUCUUCGGCCCGGCAUCUCUUUUUCUUCUCUCUUUCUUCUUUUUCUUCUUUCUAUUUUGUUUCUUUCUUUUGUUCCAGUAAAAAAAAUGGAAGUAAUACUUUCUUCUUCAAAAUGGGUGGGCCCACCUUCUAGAAGGGUGGAGCCCACAUGCCAUUUUUGUUAGAUAUCAUCUUCAAAUUCCCUCAGCCAAGAAGUAACGAUUUCAACCUCCACAUUAAGGUUCUGAAUAGCUUGUUUUGCAUCACCAAGCAACGUGACUUCUUCACCAGCUAAUACCCUUCUCAGCCUCUCUGAAAAUAGUCUGAAGCUGAUGUCCAUAUCUCCUCCUCUCUCAGACUCACCCUGAAAUCAGUCCUGUAGCAUGCAAAGAAAUAAUUAAAAGAGAGAGGGGAAAAGGAAAAUAUGCUUUAAAGCUCUCACUUCAAACAUUAGUGCUGGCUCCCAUACCUUCCUUCUCUUAGCUAGUUCUCUAGUCAAGAAGUUGAAUCAAGAUCAUUGACUCUCAAAUUAUAACAGAUCAAGGCAAAAUCUUACAAUACUCUUGUCUUCCAAAUGUUGUAAAAAGAAUAAAGCAGAGAAAAAUAAACAAGACAUCGUCAAGUUUUGAUCAAGACCAAUUUGUUUUAUACAUCCACUUUUAAGAAAGGAAGGGUAAAAACAAUUCUGCUGGGACUAUAAACGCUUGUUUGAAAAGAAGAGAACAAAGCAAGCACAAGAGGGAAAAGGAUCCUCUUCUGAUCUGAUCUCUUCUGAGUUUUUCAAGAUCUUCUGUCAAGUGUCUUUUAGUGGUAGUGUAUGAGUAAGAUUCAAUUUCUUUUAUUUUUUUAUAUAUUAACUACCAAUCAACAAUUGACUUAUUUAUUCAUGAUAUAAUCAGAUCAAGAGAGAAUCUUGAUCCGCACAAGAGCGUUAUCAAUUAUUUAAUAAUUAAGCUGUGGAAAAAUGCAAAAUCAUGUCUGCCACUUGCUGGCAUGCAAAAAAAAAAAAAAUCAUUGUUAAAACUUCUUAGCUCUUAAUUCAAAUAUUUAUGUGUCCGCUGAAACAUUUAUUGUUAAUGAAUGGAAUAGGUCGUAGGUUGACCGACGUAACUCUUUCUCUCAAUACUCCAGUGGUGUAAGCAUGUUAGUUUAGUCAAUAGUUUCUCCUGUACAUAAAUGAUGUUUUAUUAUAGAAUUUUGAUAAUAUGUAUAAUAGGGAAGUAGUUGUAGUUGUAGAAAAGAGAUUGGGUAUUGGUUUAUGUGAUAUGGACUUGGAGCAUAAUAAAUUAUACAACUUGCAAUUAAAUCCAAAAUGGCAGUACUUCAUUACUUUUGUCCUCUGUGAAUAUAAAACACUGACUAUGUAAUCAUAAUACUUUUUUAAUGAGUAUGAUGACAAUUAAAGACAAAUAAUGAUUUUGUAAUUAUUUCAUGGAGUUAAUCACUGACUGCUAUAUCAUGCACAAGUUUUUCCGUGACUAUUUCCCGUGAAAAGGAAAUUUUUAAAAGCUUUAUCAAUGUAGGUUAGUACUAGCAGCUAGGUUGGAGAAGAUGAGGGAAAGGUGACGCUAAUGAAUAAAUAUGCUACCACUUGCAAUUAAUAAAAUGCUAACCCUAUAUGGUAAAGGCUGGAGAAGAUGAGGGGAAGGUGACGCUAAUGAAUAAAUAUGCUACCACUUGCAAUUAAUAAAAUGCUAACCCUGUCUGGUAAGCUAGCUCUGUUCAUUGAAAGCAAAAGCAAUAGAAUCUUUGACCUUGCUGCCACAAGAUGAUUGUCAUGGAAGGCACCAAAGUUUCCAAGUAACAGACAAAGUUAAAGUAGUUAGCACUAUGAGCCGAGGCAAAGACAUACUUCUAAUCAUCGUAUUUGCUUUUUAAGAGUCUUCACCCUAAUUUUCCACAGCUUGCUUCUCUGCCUCAUACCUUAGUUUUAACAGCAUCUCCAUCUAAUCCUCUCAACCCACCACACGGGGGUUUCUUGUUCAUCCGCUCCCUCCUCCUCCCUAGAGAAGAAUCAAUGGCCUGAUACAAACUUGAUUUUACGCUAUCAAGUACGGCCACUACUAAAAGUUGAGGUGGUACCUCGAUGAAUAAAUCUAUCAACUCCUCCAUUCUAUUAUUUAGACCCAUUGUGAACCUCUUCUUAAAUCCUGAAGAUACAGAAGAAUAAUUACCGGCAUCAGCCGCUGUUGAUGUGUUGAAUCCUCGAUGAUGAAUUAUAAAUUACAAGACUUGCAUGUACAUCACAAACAAAAUUUGUAUCCCAAGGCUAUAAAUAUAAAAUUACUCAAAAAUAAAUAUACAUGAUUAAUCAUGUACGACGGGAUCUUAUUUCUUCAACGAGAUUUAGAGAAAGUACUAGAUCGUUUGUAAAAUUUUAUAUUUAUUAUAUCUUCAUUUUAAAAGCUUAUACAUAUCCCACAGAAAUUUGGGGAUCUUUUAAGCAUACUUUUUUAAGAAAUGAAAAAUGAUAAAGAGUACUAAUAGUGACAUAAGGGUGACAAAAAUAACUGUAAAUUGUCCAGUGUUACAAUAUUGAUUGAAAAAUAGUUAUAAUUUUUUUUUAACACUAUAUGACUUUACAGUUGUUUUGUCACCAUUAUAUCGUUCUUCGAUUUAAGUAUCCAUACUAUAUGAACCCUCAUCUUUUUGAAAAGAUUAUCAUCUUAAGACACUAUUUAUAAUUAUUUUCGUAUGAGUCCUUAAUGUUAAAAAUAUAACAAUCAAUUAAUGAAAUCAAUGAUAAUUGAAUUCCAAAUAGGAAUGGCAGAAAAAUCGAAUCCCACUAGAUCAUAUUUUCUACAAGGGUAAUGCUAAGUUACAUGCAUGUACCUUACAUCCCUCUCACAUGAAUAGUGUAUGGAUACUAUUCAUGUGAGAGGAUUGUAAGGUACAUGCAUGUAACUUAGAGGGAUCCUUUCUACAAACUGUGGCCACACUCAGGCUUCGCAUAAAAGCUUGAGCCCAGCUCGAAAGCCCAAAAAACUACAUAAAAACUUGAAAAUAUGUAUUAUAUAUUUUAAUUAAAAUACAACUUUUAACAAUUAUUUAAUUCGCUUUUAACAUAUAUUUAAAGUUUUAAAUCAUUCAAGUCCAACUUUUAAAACCUAAUCUAACCACACACAAAAAAACUUAAUUUUAUACACUAUAAAUUUACGAAAUAUAAUAAAAAAAGUCUUUAGAAAUAUAAAAUGUAAACUUCAGGCUCUUUGGCUUGGCUAGAAAAACCCAGCGUUUACCAUCUCUAAUUCCAAGUCUUAAAGACUUCUCCAAAUGUGUAGUACAACAUUGUAUAGGACCAAUCACAUGGAGAUGAUUUGUAAAUUUUCGUACGCAAUUUUAAUAUGCAUAUCAGGAGAGAGUAGAGAAGAGAGGCAGCAAUAUUAGUUGAUGCUUUUAUAGGACAUAUAAUGUAAGGAAUAAAACAAAGAUUGCAAGAAACUCUACAAAUUUUGGAAUUCAGCAUCCAAAAUAUCACUAGAACUUGCAAUACAAGCUUUAAUUUCUUCAACAACACGUCGAAUUUCGGCCAGGAACACAAACGCAGAGAUGGGUAUCAAGAUCACAUUCAAACGCAUUUUGCAGUUGUCACACUCAGCAUUGCUUUUACAUGUGACUGCUUUUGAUUUCGGCUGAGCAUCAACUGCCGGCAUGGAAAUAUAAAACAACGCACCUGCAUAUAUAAAUGCCAAACAAUUAAUUAGCCUAAUGCUAAUAACACACCUGCAUAUAAAAAUGCCAACCAAUUAAUUAGCCUAAUGCUAAUACCUUCGUAUAAUAAUUAAUUAUGCAUGCAUCGAUGUGAAAAGAUGAGGAAGAGAAGAUUAAGGAACAAACAAGAGGCCAGCAAGAGAGUGAUGAAAAAUGUGAAUUUAAGUUCCAUUAUAUUAAUGUAAGCAGAAGUGCAAAACUGAGUGUCUGAGGAUAAAAAUAUUAAUAAAUUAAAAACUGGUUGGUUUGUUUAGAUUCAUGAGUUUUUCUAGACAGUAUUUAUGGGGGAAAAUUUAAUCCAUUUGACAACUGAAAAAUUCAGAAAUCAAACCUCGAAUCGACAGAUUAGAAAUUUAAAUAAUUAACUUUGUUCUAUAUGCAUGCAGAAAAUUAGAUGUAUGUAACUUUGUCAUAUACCAUAUAUUCUAUGAGGUGGAAGAUUUUCUGCUUCAUUUGUAUCAAGUAUAUGGUACCAAUCAAUAAAUUUUAUUUUGUUAUAUGUUGAUGCAAAAUCUGGUCAUGUCAGUAUGUAGGCCUACCAGAUUCCGACACCAGCAUUUGAAUUUGUUUGUGUGGAGAGACGGUUUCUAAUCUUGAUUUAGCAACUUGUACAAAAGUUGGCAACCAAGAACUCGACAAGUAUGAGCAAGAAUUGGCGAGCACUAUGUUCUCCUGGCGAGUUCCUGCAACCAAAAGAACGGUUAAGGGUGCCAGAAGUUUUUCGGCGCUAACCUUACUCAAGUCAGUAUCAAGAAUUUUCGCAGGAUAACAAAGUACAUGAAUAUAUAUGUAAAGUGAAUCAAUCUAAGUGAACCAAAAAGAGAAAAGUUAGAAGAAACUCUCUCUUAAAUAAGAAGAGAUGAUGAUAAGGAGAGAUGGUGAUCAAAAAAUAAAAGGGAUGAAGAAAAUAAAAGAUAAAUCUUCAAAUUUCCUAAUAUUCGAUAGGGGUCCAGGGUAUUCAAAUUUUGGAUCCUUAUCUUGUUGCCCCUUGGGAAUUCUAUAGGAGUUCAAAAUCCCUCUCCUUUGGAUCUCAGUGAAGUGGGUUUUUGGAUAGGGCUCCUCUUUCAUCUCCCCUUAAUUCUAGGAUUAUGAGUUAUUUGAAUAGGAGUCCACUUUCUUUACUCUUUAGGAUCAUGAAGUGUGGAUUUUGUGGAUAAAACUAAUUCCCUAGGUUUUCAGAUGAGGUGGAAAGGUUGUUUUGACUAGAUUUGUCCCCAGCUUCAAUUGUCUCCUUGCCUACUCCUGCUCGCCAAAUUUCCUCCAGGCCGUUUUAAGUGGCAAGGCAAGUAUAAUCAAGCUUCAAGGAAAGCUUGAUUCUAGUUGCCCUAUUUUAUCAACCAAACAUUAUAUAUACUUAUCGUAACUUAUAGUAAACUAAGAAAUAUUAAAGGUCUUCUAGCGUAUUUUGAGUUAUAAAAGGAGCACGCUUGCAAAGGAAAAGAAAGAGCCGUCACCCAAGGGAAAAUAAUAGAGAAAACCUAAAGAAAACAAAAGAUAAGAGCGUUUUGAGGGUUGCAACAGAGAAAUCACAAUGGACAAGGAGAUAUCGCAAGAUUAAGCAUACUUUAACUCUUUAUCUUGUUUUCUUGUUUUCUAAUUAUUCAUGGGAAUGCAUUUGAUGGCUGAAACCAUUUUAUUUAUUGUUUUGUCACAAAUCAUGAACUAAAAUUGAUUGUGGUUGAGUGAUAAACGAUCUUAAUGGUUAUUUGACUGAUAUACAUAUGUUGCUCUAUGUUUGCUAUAACAUUUGUCUUAAUUGUAUUUAUUUUAAUUUUCUAUUUCAACUGACCACUCAUUUAGUGGAUAUUACUAAGAAAGAGGCUAAAAAAUGCCUGACUUAGUAGAUCUCAUUAAGAUAAUACUUAAUUUUAGAUUAGGUUUCCUAAGUUGAGUAAUUCUCAAUUUGAAUAGAGUCAUUCUUGACCUAAAAUUAGUAAAGAACUAGAUAUAUGGAUUCACCUUAUAGGGUAAAUGAAACCUAGAUUGUUUAAUGUUAUAUUUAAUGUUGGCAUAACAAUUGGUCACUGUUAGGUUGCAUUAUAUAUAAGAUAUCAAAUAGGUGACAGCUAAGGAUGCAUGGGGGAUUCUGCCCAGUGGUGUAGUAGAUGUUGUAGCAAUGAGUUCUUAAUUAAGAAAAAAGUCAACACUAUUAAGUGAGUUUAUUUACUCAACUACUCUAUUACCAUUUGAUUUAUCUUUGUGUUUGACGUGAGAAUUUUCUUUAUUACAUUUAUUUAUUGCAUUUUUAAUUUAAGUAGUUCAUUAGUUUUAUAAAUUAUCUUAUUUUAAUUAAAACAAAAUUGCACUGUUAAGGUUGUUACACCAAAUCUGAAAACAUCAAAUCCCUGAGGAGACGAUCUGAAUACUCAUCAGUAUAUUAUUUGUUGUGCAUACUUGCACAUUAACAUCCAUAGCAAUAGAAAUAAUCCAACAUGAGGUGACUUCUGUAACUUGUUUUUUGGCAAAAGGAAAUGGCUCGAUAACUGGAAAAAGCAAAAGAAAGGAAGGAAAGAGAUAAAUGAUGUGAGAAAUUAAGGAUUUUGGGGAAGUGAAAAUUUAAAUAAUUGGUUCAGCGCAUACCAUAUCACAUACAUUUGAGAUGACGCAAUAGCUUGGGCAAAUAGGUGUCAGCUAAUUAGGGGAGUGAAAAAUCUUUUUCAACAACUUUUUGCUAUAGAGUCGGGCAACCAAAAUGGCAACUUGGAAUAUAGGAUACAUUAAGUUUCUAGUUUUGAUUUGUUUUACUCUCAACACUAGAAAUUGGGAGACUGAUGUUUUGGGGUGAGAAACAUGACGAUCAAGCACACAUGAGCAGAAUGUGCUCCCCUCAGCCUAAAAUGGCUCCUCAAGAAGAUUAUCCCACAUGAGGCAUGUAGCUAGUCUCAUGAGCAGAGUCAGCUUUAAGACGUGCGAGGAGAGACCAUAACCAAGUCAAAUCGAAGACUUGAUCAAAGGUCAACCCGUGGGUUUCCUCCAAAGAAUUCGGGCACGAAGCCCACUCACUAGUAGUUAUGUUGCCCACUUGCCAAUGGUUUUGUAACUAACCCAGUAACGGUGUUGGGGGAGAAGAGGCCGAUACUUCCAGUUGGAUACAAAAGCUUUAGAGAACCGAGGUAAGGGGGUUGAACAACUUUUCAUUUAAUUUUCUCGUGCUUUCUCUCUCUUUUCACAAUUUUAUCUUCUCUAUCUUUCUUUCUUUCUAAAAUAAAACAUUUCUUUCGUUAGCGUUGUUAUAAUUAAGCCAUGUGAAUUGUGGUAUAAGUUUUUCUAGGUAGACUGAGAUAGUUGACUUGAGUGUCAAAGGGUUUAUGCCAGAAAAACCUCGGGCUUCCCCUGACUAGUUGUUGUGAACGCUAGUGUUCUUGGAGAAAGUAUUCGAGAUCACAGGAACUUGUUCGAUAGUGAGGAAGCAACACAGAACUGUCUCCCCAAUAACAAAUCUAAGUGCUGAUGUGGUUAUUUGGUCGCUACACAGCUCGACCAGAUUUCUGCAUCGAUGGUCAUCAUAUGAAAAAUGCGAGCAAAAGCUUAACCUUGUAAAUAAGAAUCAGUCACAGGCGUCAAGUGGAUCUAAUAUUCAUAUUAUAAGAAUUUAAUAAAAUGAAAUCACUUUGUAGAUAAUUCAGAUAGUAAAAUACCUCUCACAGACUUCUUUAUAUCCCACGAUAUUUUAUUGUGAUUGAACUUAGGGUACGUUUAGUACACUAUAUUGUAUUAUGUUGUAUUGCAUUAUUUUAAUACAGGUGUAUUGUAUUAUGCUAUAUUACAUUAUCACUGUAUUACAACAAUAUUGUACAAUGUUUGGUGCUAUAUUGUACUAUGUUAAUUUUUAAUUAUAUUAUGUUUGGUAUUGCAUUGCACUGUAUUAAUUUUUUGUGAUUAAUUUAAAUUAUAUAUUUAGAAAAUAAUCCAUGUAAUAAUUCUAUAGUAUGUGUAAUAAGAUUUAUAUUAUUAUGUAUAUUGUUAAUUUCAAAUUAAUAUUAUUCAAAUCUAUUCAUAUUUAAACAUUUAUUAUUAGUUAUAUUAAAUUCCUAAAUAAUAAUCCAUUUUUAUAUAUUGAUUACAAUAAUAUAAUUAAAUAAUGUAAUAUUAUGUUAUAUUUUUAUUUUUACAUGUUAUUAAGUUAUUGUUAUUAGUUAUGUUAACUUAUUAAAUAUUAAUCAAUUUUAUAUAUUAAUUAUCAUAAUAUAAUUAAAUAAUACAUUAUUUAGUAUUUUAGUUAUAUUUUUAAUAUAAUAAAAAUUAAAAAAUAAUAUAAUAUUAUUUAAUAAUAAAUAAUAAAUUUAUAUUAAUAAUUAUAAUAUAAAAUAAAAAUUAAUAUUAAUAUUAUAUAAUAUAUAAUAUUAUAUUAUAUUAAAAAAUUAUAGUUAUUAUUAUUAUUAUAUAUUAAAAAAAAUUAUUGCGGCAAUUACCGCAUUAGUUAAGAUUAAUGCUGCUCACUGCUUUCCAAUCAAUUGUCAAAUAUGGGAUUUGUUCAAGUAAACUGAACCCACACGCUAAUGCUAUAUAAUACCACACGUCAAACACACCCAUAAAGCAUCUCAAUCAAAUUACUACAUGAAAGAAACCGAAACUAAAAAGGGAAAAAAAAAAAGUUGAAUUGUACUCAAACUGGGUAUUGAUAAAUGGAUGCACGGAAGCUUUUAAGUGGAGGCAAAGCAGGCAAGAAUUGAUUUGCCGAUGGAACCAAAAGAACAAUUCAAAAAAAAAAUUGAAUUGUAUUCAAACUGGGUAUUGAUAAAUGGAUGCACGGAAGCUUUCAAGCAGAGGCAAAGCAGGCAAGAAUUGACUUGCCGAUGGAACAAAUAGAACUCUAUUGGCAUUACUGAAAUGGCAUUUUAUUCGAUCUUGAGUACCAGAGAAAGAUUACACAAGUCAAGAGAAAAGGGGAAGGAGCAUUUAGCCUUUACUUGUAAGUAAAGGUAAAUAUCUUGGUUCAAGCAAAGAAAGAGAUACCAUACUAGACCAAAAGGAAAGCAUCUUAAGAAACAGUAAAGAAAGCAAAGACUUAGUUCUAGAAAAGAACAAGAUGCUGACGUCCUUUAUAAUCUGCUUAUCGUCUUCUUCUUCUUCCGGUCUCUGUUUUUCCAAUAAAAAGAUUUUGCUAACUGGAUUAGGAAAGAAAAAAUGAAAACCCUGAUUGCAAGAUGUUUUGGACAUUUAUAUCAUUUUCAUCUUUCGCAAUCUAAUUCGGUCAUUUCUGUCUGUAAUAGAAACAUGAAUACAAUUGAUUGAAAGGAAAAGAUGACAGAGAUGAAACUCCCGCAUUAGUUUAUUAAACGAGAAUGUGAUCCGAUCUUCAAGUCUUGAGAUAUUUUUAUUUUAUUUUAUUUUAAGUUAUAUUUAUUUGGUUGGUUGUGGUUAAUGUUUUAACUUAUACUUGAACUCAAUAAACUAGUUGUUAGUUAAUUAGUUAAUUAUUUGCCUUAGUUUAGGAUUGUGGCUCUUAUUCUUUAGUUUCAAAUUUCAUAUGUAAGCUAGUAUUUAAACUAGCAUCAAUCUUAAUAAUGGGACGCUGAAAUACUUUAUUUGGCAACUGAGAAAUUGUAUUUGAGAGGUAUUUGGUCCCUCAAAACACCAAAAACAUGUUCAUGGAGGUUUGGGUUUCCUUGGAUUAACUUAUUUAUCACUUGUUCUUUUUAUUUUAUAUUAUUUUCAGUUGCAGACAAUUUGUGCCUGAAAAAGAAUGUGAACAUCUUAACGGAUAGUUCAACACUAUAUUAUUGGAUUAAGAAACCACAAGAUACCAAGGACAUCCAAACCAACUAAGAGGAUUUGAAACAAUUACAGACUCAAAAUUAUACAAGUGAAUCCAAAACUAGAAUGUAAGACAGUGACUGGAGUCUAUGAAAUCAAACCUCUGCAUUUUAACCUCAUAUGUAUGAGAAUGAAGUCAUAACUUUGUAAAUUCUGGAUUUUUCAGCUGAAAUGAUCUCUCAGGCUGCAGCUAUAACAUGGCUUCUCUGAUACUACCUGCAGAAUGAAUUGGCGAUAACCAGACCUGAAGAUUUUGAUUUCUUUAUCUUUUCUACUUCAUUUAAUCGAUUAAUCUCAAUGGCUGUAAGGAUCCUUUUUUGAUGCAACAACGUGUGUGCUUUAGCGUAAACAAUUUAAUGCACCAAAAAAAAAAAGGCCUUAUUGAACUCUGCUGGUGGGUUGAUAAAAAACGCUAAUGGGGAUUGGGUUGCUGGAUUCUGUGCGAACAUUGGCAUUAGUUCGGUUACUAAUGCUGAACUCUGGGGUUUAUUCUAUGGUCUUGGUCUGGCUUGGAAGCUGGGGGUUCGGAAUUUGUUGGUUGAAGUUGAUAGCAAGUGCACUAUUGAACUACUUGCAAACACGAGCAAUAGUCCAAAUAGCUUUUCUUCACUGAUUCAAAGCAUCAGGAAGCUCCUUGAUAGGGAUUAGCAUGUGUGCAUUAACUAUAUUUAUCGUGAAGCAAAUUUUGCAGUGGAUUUUCUUGCGAAUUUUGCAAUGAGUCAACCUCUUGGUUUCCAUUUCCUCCACGAUCCUCCUCGUGGUGUUGUCCAUUGUUUAAAUCAUGACAUGUACGGGAAUGCUUUCCCUCGUUUUGUUUUUGUUUAGCCUUGUUGGCUCCCUUUUGUUUAAAAAAAAAAAAGGCCUUAUUGUAGUGCCUAAGAGGAUCUUAGUACUUCUUCACAAGAAUAUUUACUAGGAGAGUCAGCCAUUUAUGAAGUUCAUGAAUAAUCAAUCUUUUCCGCAAAACAAACCAAACAUACUGAGUGUCAAACAUGCCCAGCCUUAGAAGAGGAUUCCAAAGCAAGCAACAGAACAAAGACAGAAAAUACAUUCCACUGAAUCCAAGACUGGAAAGGCGUCACAAAUAUUAUUUAUUUUUUUGCACACAAUUCACCAACCAUGGCUGAAGCACCAAUCAAUCAACUCUCAAUUGAAUAUCUGAAAUGAUAUUUCCUAUUUUUGAGAGGACAGCAGAUACAAAGAAAGCAAAAAAUGUCCACCAUACGAUCAGGAUUUAUUUGUAUAUACAACAGAAGUGAAGACUAACUGAAAGGAUUCUGGUUGAAACUGAAACGCGGGCUGCAGUUAUGAUAUUUUCUGCUCGGACUUCACCUACACAAGUCAUUGGAGAAAUUGGUGAAAAAUAAAAUUUUUAUAUUACAUUUUUUAUCUUAACUAUUAAAACAAAUGAUGCCAAUGUCUGCUAGGCUCACGGUUGAACAUACAAGGGUACUGAAGUCUCCCCUGCGGCUAAAGAGGGUGAAAUGAUAAGGGUGACUAUCAGAAACUCUAAAGAGGGCUCAACUAUUUAACUGAAGGAGGAGGAAAAUAAAUAUAUUGAAGAGAAAGUAUACGAAAUUAGAUUAAAAAAAAAUUAAAAGUUGAAGAAAUUGGAUAAAAGGAGAAACUUACAUCGAAUUCAAUCGGGGCUAAUCAAAUUCCAUAAGGAUAUAGUUGAAUGCCAGACUGCUUCUUAUCCUCGAAUUCCCGUAGCUUUUGUCUCAACUCCGGCUGAGGCCACCAGCAAUCAAAUUUGUUUAAGCUCUUUAUGCACCAGAGCAGUUCAGGAAUCCUUUUCAAGUAAGCACAAGGGUUGAUAAUCAAGCAUUCUAGUUUUGGCAUGGCUGCAAUCCCCAUAGUCCACUCCUCUAGCCAUAGCAUAGAUUUCAUGUGCAACACCUUAAGCCUUGGAAAACCAUUAGAACCACAAGUCAGCUUUCUACCUGAAUAUGAGUUUUGCUUCAGUUUGAGCACUUGAAGAACCGGCAGCUGUUCUAGUGCCGGCAUGGGGUCAUCCAUUAGAUCAGUAUUAGAAAAACUCAGGUGGGUUAGACUUCGAGGAAAUAGGUUUUCAGCAAGGACGAUUUUGGAGUGCCGCGGCGUCUUGCUUUCAGUCGCCAGCUUCAAUGACUCAAGAGAGCUCAAUCUGCAGAGACUUUUGGGCAACAAAGAUUGAUAAUAACUUAAAUCUCCCCGUAUCUGGAGAUUUGGAAGAUUAGGUAGUCUGCCCAAAGGAAAUAUAUCGCAAAAGAAAUAAAUUUUCAACUCCGGACGGAUAUUGGAAGAGAACAAGAGAUCCCAAGUCCAAUACUCUGAGAAAUUUGAACAUUUUACCAAUUUUCUCCCAAUCUAUUGGGUCAAGGUGGUCGCUUUUUGAAGCAAAGUACAACAAAGAAUGCAAGUGCAAGUCAGAAUCAUCUAAGUAAGCGAAAUCGCUCUGUUUUUCAAAAACGUUGAUUCGUUUGAUAUUUUUUCGUGAUUUACCUUCUGGAUCAAUGAAAGGGAAAAAGAUAAAAUCCGCUUUGAAAGCCAUUACGAAUGACACGGGACGGCCACGGCCAAGAACAGAGCAUGUUUUGAUGGUGCCUCCAGCUCUUCUCUUCUUUGCUUCAACAAAACCUCUAUUGAUUAGUUGUUCUAAGUGCUUCUCAGCAGUUGCCUCAUUAUUGUCUGGAAUGAAACCUUCAGCUAUCCACAACUGAUAUAACUGCCUGGUGGAUAUCUCUAGGUGUGUGGGAAACACAGAUAAGUAGAGAAAACAAAGUUUCAAGCAAAAAGGUAACUUGCAAUAUGUGACUACUACAAUCCCAAGGGGUGUCUCCAAUACUUUCCCUAUAUUUUCUUCUAAUGAGAUGCUUCCAUGAUAUAAGAUGAGGAAAGGCCAUCCUUGGUAAGUAACUCUCAAUGGUCCUCCAGUGGGCACAAGAUCAAGCCGAAUGUUCUCUCCGUUUUCGAACUGAAAUGAGGUGACCAUCUCAAUUUCAGUGAGUGUUAUUAAUAUUCUACUUCCAUUCUGAUUAUCCGGAAGUAUUUCUCAAAUAAC
rnacentral:lncRNA from 1 species